rnacentral:lncRNA from 1 species
GGAGAUGCAUAGAUGUAACUGUGAACUGGUGGUGGAGGAGAGUGAUAAACUGGGUGUGGAGUGUAGGGAGGAUGAACUGGUGGAGAGUGGUAAACUGGUUUUGGAGUGUAAGGAGGGUGAACUGGUGGUGGAGGGGAUGAGUAUUUGUAUGGCUUCUUUGGUGGUGGUGGAGAGUGGUAGUAGGGCUUAGGGCUGACGUGAUGCACUGGUGGAGGAGGAGAGGAAUAUUUGUAUGGCUUCUUUGGUGGUGGUGGGGAAUGGUAGUAAGGUUUAGGGCUUAACAUGCACUGGUGGUGGAGGAGAAGAAUAUUUGUAUGGUUUCUUUGGGGGUGGUGGAGAAUGGUAGUAAGGUUUAGGGUGGACAUAUGGUGGAGGAGGAGAAGAAUACUUGUAAGGUUUCUUUGGUGGUGGUGGUGGUGAACUGUAAUGGUAGGGAGGAGGAGGUGUAUAAACGGUGGGGGUGGAGAGUGGUAGUAGUAUGGUUUCUUAGGUGGUGAGUACACUGGUGGUGGUGGUGAAGAGUAAUGGUAAGGUGGUUUAACUGGAGGGUACACCCCCGGUGGUGGGGAAUGUGGAGGGUACACCUUAGGUGGUGGUGGAGAACUAUAAUGGUAAGGUGGUGAGACUGGUGGAUACACCUCAGGUGGUGGUGAAUGUGGAGGGUAUUUCUUAGGUGGUGGUGGGGAAGAGUAAUGGUAAGGUGGUUUAACUGGUGGGUACACCUUGGGUGGUGGUGAAUGUGGAGGGUACACCUUAGGAGGUGGUGGUGAAGAGUAAUGGUAAGGUGGUGAAACUGGAGGAUACACCUUAGGUGGUGGUGAAUGAGGAGGAUACUUCUUAGGUGGUGGUGGUGAAGAGUAAUGGUAAGGUGGUGAAACUGGAGGGUACACCUUAGGUGGUGGUGAAUGUGGAGGGUACACCUUAGGUGGUGGUGGUGAAGGGUAGUGGUAAGGUGGGGAAACUGGAGGGUAGACCUUAGAAGGUGGAGGAGGUGAAGAAUACAAGUAGCUGUUUGCUGAAAUUUGAGAUGUAUGGAGAGAGACACUAUUAUGGCUAAUAGAAGAGUCAAAGUGGCAGAGGCCAUUGGAGACCUCAUUUUUUUUUUUUUGUUCUCUUGUUGCCUUAACCUCACUAGAUAGUGGGAUUUUGAUAUGCUAUAAUGUAACCAAGUGAUGCCCUUUAUAUAGAUCUUUUAUUUACCUACUAGUACUAAUCAUGUUGGUUGGUAACUUUGUUUUCAACUUGUCAAAAUUUUGUUGCCAAUAAGGCGUUGCCGUAUCUUUUUUUAAUUAAAAGUCAAUAAUAUUCAAACACAAGUUUUCAUUAAACAAAAACUAACUUACUUUUCUGAAUAGGUUGAUUUAAUUGGAAAAAAGGGAGGAUAAUUUAUACAAAAAGAGAAGUUGUAUUCCCUAUAUUCGGUAUCAUAAAAAGAAGAGAAACAAUUAUUAAAGCAAAUUUUGGUUAUUUUAUUUUAAUCAAUUUUUUAAAAUUAUUAAAAUGGACAGUGUUUAAUUAAACCAUUUUUUACCUCAAUAUCCCAAGUGAGCUUUGGAGUGCGUAUUUGGAUUUGAUGUAGGCUGCAAGCUUUUAGCAGGAAAUAAAAUAUCUUGAAAUAUCUCAAAAUAAAACAAAAUGGACAGAAAUCCGUAAGUGUAGUUCAGUUGAUAGCUACCAGAGAUAAUGUUUAUAAGGGUUGGGGUUCAAAUCCCAAAUUCCCCACACUAGACUAUUGAAAAAAAAAAAAAAAAAAAAGACAGAAAAUAUAAAAUGUGUUAAAUUGAUGUAGAUUAUUGGAGGUGUUAAAAAAUCAUCAUUGUAUUCUAAUGCCUAAUUUAUCUUCUCCACAUAUCUUUUACUGUUCUUGAAAAAUGCAUGCAUAGAGACCUAACUUCGUGCUAUAUUCGUCUGUCCCUUGAAGACUUUUCAAAAAGACUCGUACACCAGGGCCCAUAUGCAUGGCAUAGCAGCCUCAAUUAUAGGACGAUAAUUUUACGUGAAAUUUUUAUUAUUACUUUAUACAAAUAUUUAUUUAUUUAUUAAAAUUUUACAUAUUUACUUUUUUAAAGUAUAGACAGAAAUUUUUUCAUUUAAGUAAAAUUAAUUUCGAUGUUAUUAAUUCAUUUCCUUUCAUCCUAUCAAAUUAAUGAAUACUAUCCUUGUUGGUAGGCAGAGUCUAGAAUAUUCUAGAUUAGUAUAUACACUUCUAGCUACCUAUCACAAAUUUUGCAUGCAUUUAAAUGAUUUAUCAUGGCAUCGUCUCAGGCUUGGUCCUUUUCAGAUAAAGACAAAAGUUAUGUCUCUGUUUACUUUUAAGCCAAAGUUUUUUUUUACUCUUGUGUAAAGUAAAGUAUAUGACUUUUGAUAUACGGAUAGGAUUCUGGGUUCAAUUGGAUAUAAUUUACCCCGAGGUAUAUAACUAUUUUCUUAUAUUGUUGUUGCUUUUCUAAAACUAUCAAUAAUGAAAGAGAAAUGAUAUUUGUACAACCAUUUUUUAUAAUUUUUAGAUAAAAAUUUCUCUUUCAUAUUCACAUUAUAUUCUUACCCUCUCUCUUCCUUUUUCUCUCUCCUUUGUUUUUAACCAAUGAAAAAAGAGAAAAAGAAGGUUGUCAAAAAGGUUGUACCAAAUGGUUGUUCAAAUAUCAUUGCUCUAAUGGAAAGGUCUUAAUAUCAUCUUUAUUUAGUCUCGUUUUGGAAAAGUGAUUUAAAAUCUGAUCCGAUCAUAACGAUUUUUACAUAAUAACAUAGAAACGCAUAAAAAAAAUAUUCGAUUUUUUAUGAUUUUUUUGUUUUUUGAUCGAUUUGCAGUUUUAUUUUGAAUCGGCUUGUAUUUGAACACCCCUACUUCUUACUCAUCCACACAAGGUAACUCGAAUCAAGGUUGAGAAGAAUAAUUAUUUGUUGAAUCUACCAUUUGUGGUGGACUAAUCUUUUAAAUUUCUCGUAAUAGUUCUUUUUACUUUCAUUCAGGUAUUCCUUAUCUGUUUCUGAUGUAACUUGAUUUUUCUCUUUGCUUCUCUCUAGUAUACUUUGUGUAGGGCAAGAAGUAAAGAGGUUUAGUUAUGGAAAUUCCAUAUUAGCUUUUUUAAAAUAAAAAAAAAUAGAACAAUUUGUUUCACCAUUUAAUUUUUAUAAUUAUAUUAUAAAUAGAGAGAUUAAAGUAAAGUUGACUAAAAAAUUCGAGUAGCUAAUAAGCUCGUACUUCCUCUAAUUCUUAUUAUACGAGAAAAUUUGUUUUUCAGAUUCAUUCACUAAAUAAUGUACCAUGUUUCUAAUAUAAAAUAAAUACAUCAUUUAUUGAAUCUAAAAAAUCAACUUUCUUUGAUAAUUGAGACCCAGGGUAGAACAUGGCAAGGGUUGAUUAUAGAAAAAUGCUAAAGAGUGUCUACACUUAAAAUGGUAAGAAAUUUUGAAAAUCUAUAUAACUAUUGCAUUAGAAAUAAAACUCUUUGACUUUUUAAUGAAUUUCUAAAUUAUAAAUUAUUAAAAAAUGUCAUAGAGACACUUGUUAGCGAUAUGAUCUGUUAUACUCUAUAGGUCGCGUCCUUUUUUUUUUUUUUGACAAGUGGGUCGCGUACCUAUUCUUAAUCAAUCAAAAAUAUGUUGGAUAACAUAUUUAAUUCACCGUUGAACAAGAAUAAUGUUUUUUUAUUUAUUGUAUCAAAGAAUAAUGUAUUUUAUUCACCGUACUAAUAUUAUAAAAAAAAAUAAAAAAAAUCGACCGUCGUUCUUUUAAUUUUUCUGUCCUAAAAAAAUACUCAGUUUAAACGAGCAAGCAUAUAUUUUCAAUAUCUAAUUUUUUUCUCAAUUUAUAUUCCACUCAUAUCAUAUCAUAUAAUAUACUUAUUUUUGGUCAAAAAAAAUAUAAUAUACUUAUUUAUAACAUUAAUCACAUCGUUGACUUAUUUCUUUCUCUUUCAAGAUACUGAGGAGAUUUUCUUUAUAAAAAAAAAAAAAAAAAAAUCCAUAUUGAGGAGAUGUAUGCAUAUGUACACAAAUCAUUAAAAGUGUAAUUGAGUUGUGUAAAACACAAAAAACUGCAGAGAUGGGAACAAAUAAAUUAAUAGAAACGGCAGCUUAGUUCAUGCUCUUACAUCAGUAAAAAAUUAGGUGGGAGUUAUUAUUUUUCCACAGAUUAGCAUAUAUAUACCCCACAGGUCCAUAUCAUUUUUCCCCUUAAAAAAAGUCCAUGUUACUUUUGUUUCAAUGUAUCCAAACUAGGAAAAGUCCGGAAAAUUAGAUUUUACCUAGGCAACAACACAUCACCAUUAAUUAUUUUUUCCAUUUUUUUAGUUUUCCAUGUUUUAAGAUUUUUUAUCUUUACUAAAAGAAUCAAUAAAUUCUAAUAUCUAUCUCAUUACACCUAUUUUUUUGUUACAUGAGAUAAAAAAGAACAAAGACACAAAAAAAUGAAAAGAAAAAAAUUAUGCCCUAAUAAAGUACACAUCAACCUUAUCCCCGUGAGCUUAACUCAGUUGGUAGGGAUAUUGCAUAUUAUAUGCAAGGGCCGGGGUUCGAACCCCGGACACCCCACUUCUCCACAAUUAAAUUGUGUGAACUCUAGCCACUAGACUACUUGACCAAAAAAAAAGUACACAUCAACCGUGUCAAGUAAUAAAUUAAGCCCUAAUAAGAAGAAAAAAAAAACAAAAAAUUAAGCCCUAAUAAAUUCCAAUAUCUCAUCACAACUAUUUUUUACGAGGGAAACAUGUCUAAUGUAGAUAAAAUAUAAUUGGUGCAAGUUUGUGAAUUUAGAUUAUGUUUUUUAAGAAGGUAAACUAAAUUAUCAAAAUUGACAUAAAAGAUAAUCAAACAUGAGACUCGAAAUAUACUUUCACAGUUUUUAAAAUUUCAAUUCAAAUUUAGAUUAUAUUCGAUUACAUCUAGAUCACAAAAGUAUAAAUUGAAAAAAUAUAAAAAAAAAAAAAAAAAAACUUUCUAAGAGCAUUACAACUUUAAUGUUAGAGGUGGCCUUUAAUUUGUUUAACCGUGUGUAGUUUUUGUUUUGUUUCGUUUUUGUUUGUUUUUCAUCCUUUUAUUUUGGGUUAGAUUUUUCUUCUCCUUGUAUUUUUUUUUUCUCAUUUAUUUUGAUAUAUUUUAAAAUUAUAAAGAACAACAGCAAUAAUAAUAAAUUAAUUGCCCUUAAAACAUUUUAAAACCGUCACUAGCAAGUUAAGGGAAGUCACCAACCACACAAUAAUGACCCUUAGGAUAGUUUAUUGAUUUAAGUCAUCAGAAGUAAGAAGAAAGAAGAAAGGGAAGGCACCAACCCAAACAAUGAUAUUCGAUGAUCAUGACUAAAAAAGGUUUAACUUUCAUAUCCAACCCCUGCAUAUGCAUAUGCUUGACUUUAAUAUUGGGAUAUGAUCCAAUAUUUUGCAUCAUGCAUAAGUUAUUUUUUUCAUCGUUAGAUAAAAAAAAUGUCACACCAUUGCACCAAAAAAAAUCACAUUAAAUUUAAGGGUUAAAUAUGUUAUUGGUCCCUAUAAAUAUACCAAUUUUUCGUUUUAGUCUCUCUAAAAUUUUCCUUCAACUUUUAGUCCCUAAAAAAUUUUCCAUCUUCACUUUUGGUCCUUCUUUUAAAGUAAACUCAUAUGUAGAAUUCAUAUUUUUGAAUCAAAUUUUUCAGAAAAAUUCAUAAUAUUAUAAGAAUCUCUCCCAAAAAAAUUAGAACUUUUUAACAAAACAUGAAUUUAAUAUGAAUUUUUAUAUUAUUUAUGGUUAAAAAUUCAUAUAUAAUUUAUGUUUACUUAAAAAAUUCUAAUUUUUUUUUUGAAAUGUUUUUACAAUAUUCUACACAUUUGUGUACAAUUUCAUUAAAAAAAAAAUACUAAAAUUUACUUUGAAAUAGGGACCAAAAGUAGUGACUCAAAAUUUUACAGGGACUAAAAGUUGAAGGAAAAUUUAAGAGGGACUAAAACGAAAAGUUGCUAUAUUUAUAGGGACCAAAAACAUAUUUAACCCUAAAUUUAAUAGUAAAAUAUAUUGAUCCGAUAAUAAAAACUAAUUUAUGUAUGUUGUAAAAUUUGUUUCAUUUAUAUACAGUAGGAUUGACAUAUCAUUUGCUAGAGUAAUGUUUCUUGGACACCUUAUAUAUGUAUGGCACACUUAUUUUACACUAAAAAAUAAAAUAUUUAAUAUAUAAAAACUGUUUUUUUUUCCUUCGAAAUGAUAAAAAUUGUUUAUUUUUUAUAAUAAUAUCACUUAUGGUGGAAGACGGCCGAAAACAUGCCAUAACAUAGAGCUCCAUCGACCAUCGAAACUUCACCAUCGAUCAUCGUUGAGUCACUAAAGCUCUUCCACCGACCACCUUGGAUCGUUAGAACUCCACACCAUCGGCCAGCCACCAUCAAUAUUGAGGUGUCAAACAAGUGUCCCUAUAUAUGAACCGUUUACAAAGGAAGAAACAUAACAAUGUAAAGGGUUAGAAAAUGCUUUGGAAGAGAAGAUAACAAAAACAAAACAUAGAGGAAGAAAGCAGAGUAUCUGAAAGAGAUGAGCACAUGAUCUGCGACGACAACAGAGGAAGAGAUGAAGAGCUCGUGUGAGAAGAUAAAGAGUUUGAAAAAUUUAGGGUGUAUAUUAAAACAAAAAGUUGAAAUAUUUAUAGAGACUAAAAACAUAUUUAAUCAACAAAAGUUUAUAAAGAGUUGCAUUGCACCCUUCAUCUUACAAACCGAUUUUAUGUGGUUGAGUUGCACUCAAUAUAAAAACCUAAUAUGGUAAUCGUUUGGGACCAUCUAUCAUUUAUAUCCACGCAUCAAACUCAAUAAUGUCAGGUGUGAUUUUAUAUUUUAUAAAGAGCGACUUCCAUCACCAUACAUAUCAGUUUUGUAAGAAUGCCGACUGAACAUAAAAACCUAAUAUCUAGUUACAUAUUUCAUUAAAAUAACACAUUUUGCACAUAUCACACAUCCAUUAUUUAUCCAAAAAAAAAAUCACACAUCCAUUAUACUUUUGCGCUUAAACCAUUAUAUUUUACAACUAAAUUAUAUAUUUUAUCUGUCUCAUUAUAAAUGUAUUAUUCGUUUUUUAUGUCUCAAAACUUUAAAAUAUCAAUAAACAAUUGAUUUACUUUUUAUUAGCCUAAAAAAAGUAAAAUUAAUAAGCUUUUGUAAUAAUGAAAUUCUCUUUUAUCAUUAAAAUUAACCCAACUAAUUAUUUACUUAAAAGUCGCGCCCAAAUCAAAACUCUUAUACUGGGAUAUCUUCAUCUUUGUUUUGGCCUAAAAUUUGGAGCAGCAAAUACUUCAUUUUAUGUUUUAUUUAAAUGGACAUAUUGGAUAAAUUACAGGCCGUGAAAUAUCAUGUCACAUACUUUUAUUUUCUUACAUACACCAUAUUAGUCAUUCAAAGUUCGUAUGAAUCUGCAAAAUCUAGUUUAAUUGUCAAUGUUGAUAUUGUUGGACUAGACAUAAUCAUUCGGAUUCUAAUAUGAUAUCUCAUAGUUGUGUUGUAUAUGAAUUUAUUUAUGUUGAUGUUUUUCAAUUUGUGUACAAAAAAGAAAAUGGAGGAGUUCUUUAGAAUAGUAAGAUAGGUUUAUAUAUAUGAAAGUAGCAUGUGAUUUUUUUUACUAUAUAGUACUUUUUUUAACUAUACAAUACUUGUAAGUUAAGGAAUCAAUCAUGCAAAUUAAAAUUAUAAUAUGAAUAUGUAAUUUAUAAUGAUUGUGUAUAAAUCAAUUAACAGAGAAAGCAGAAGACUUGUCAAAAAAAAAAAAAAGAGAGAGAAAGCAGAAGAUAUAAUAUGAAUAUGUAAGUUAUAAUGAUCGUAUAUAAAUCAAUUAACAGAGUGAAAGCACAAGAUAUGGACCUAAGAUCCUAUGGAAAAAUAAAAUAAAAAAAGAAAAAGAAGAAGAGACGAUUUAAUUUGAUAGCUAUACCAGCCCCAAAAGCAUAACAAAAUAUUAUAUUUUAAAACAUAAAUUGAGUAUCCAUUAUUACCAUUAUGCAACACUUUUAGUUUUCCUCAUGUCGCCUAGCGGGUAGAAAACUUGGAACAUAAUUGAUUUUUUGUUUUUGAAGGAUUGGAACAUAAUUGAUGAGGAGCUACAAGAUAACCUUUUCACUAAAAAAAUUCAAAAAGAAAAGAGAGAGAGCUCCAUUACACGUGAAAAAGAAAAAGUGGAUCCGGAUAUUCGUAAGACAAAUAGAUUAAAAAAUAAUUCCUGGCAAAAAAUAAAAUUUACUCAAAGAUAACUAUAUUUUAAAAAAUAAUGCUGUGUCAAAUAAUUGGAUUUUGGAAUAUUAUCAUAUCUUAAAUAAAGUUUAUAGAACGAUUCAUCAUUGAUCAUGUUUAAACUCGAUUACUUGGUUGAAGAUACAUUCCUUUAACAGUAGGGUAACAAAAGUAUUAAAUAUGACCCCUAAAAAAACAUAUAUUAAAUAUCAACCUAGUUACCGACAGAGAAAGAAAGGAUUACAUGCAACGACGUGCUCAUAAAGGAUCCAACGGCCACAAUUUGAUUAGAUAUUGUUGUCAAAAAUGUGACCAAGUAACUACGUGGUACAUGCACGUCACAAAUGGUAACAAAUGCAAAAGUCAAAGUAGAUUCACAUCAAUCAAUUCCACAAUACGUGUCCUUUGUGUUUGGUUUGUAGUUUUCUGUGAAGGUUCCCAGUUUGAAUGAAUACUUGCAAACAAAGUCCAAAAAUAUUGAUAGGGAAACCAUAGAAAGGUUAUCGAAAUUGAAUUUUAAUAUGUAAUAAUACGUACAAAUUUGUGUUUUAAGAUGUUACAAAUGAACGAAGAAACAGAAUAUGAUGCUACCAUUCACAUGCAUCAUGUGUUUUUCGUGCUUUUUUCCUUCGCACUAUAUAACAACAUUCCUCAAAAUGAAUCAACUCGUUUGUUCAAAUUUUGAAAAAUUCGUGAAUGAGACUACGUUGAUUCGGAUAGCUUGGAUUAUUGAGGACUGUUAUAUAAAACGAAAAAUGCCUCAUGAAUUAAUCUUUAGAGCCAAUCAAAUUUGCUUCCGGGCGGAAAACACGGGGGGUGGGAUGUUAAGUUGUGUUGAUAUAUUUUUCAACGUCAUGUGAUAUACAUCUUUGGGAUGAUUUCGCUUUCCCUUUCUAGCUAUACAUAUCAUUUCCCUUGCUGAUAAAUUUGAGUAGAUUUGUUUCGUUUGGCAUUUAGUAAUUUUGAGAUUAUGACAAACAUUUUUGAAAGUACAAGUAAAAAAAUGCUAUUUUUUUUUUCAAUACUAUCGUAGAAAGAUUAAACUUUAGAAGAAAUUACACUUGUAUUUUUGGAUAGUUUUAAAUCUUUAAGAAGUUAGAAUUUUGUUAAAAAAUUUAGCUUGAUAACCUUAGAAGUAUGGAUUCGUGAUGACUUUUGUAAUAUUACUUUUUUUUGUUUUGUUGCAACGUUAGAUUUUUGAAGUUUUAACAAAAAUAACAAUCAAAGUAACAUUGUCAUUGUGAUAUCGUCAAUUAUACACUAAUUUGAUAUUGAUCCAUCAUCUGAUAUGAAGACGUACAUGCAUGAUGUGUCAAAAUAAUUUUUAUGUCAAAAUAGCUUUGGUAGUUUCAAAAUCAAGAUCAUUAGUUAAACUUGAAUAAUCUCUCCCAUCCAAAUGUUUUUGGAUCUGAUUUUGUUGGAACACUCAACCUCAAAGAUCAUUUAAUUUUCGAGGUAUUUGUUUGCAUGCUAAUUUUUAGUGAAAAAGAUUGAUGGACACCCAAUGCAUCUCUCUCUCUGGUUGAAAAUGUAUGACACGUCUAUGGAAUUGGUGGAUGAAAUGUUUAAAUAUCACCAUCCUAAUUUUUUAGAAGGAUUCGAGAUUUAAUGUUUACAACUGUGUUUGAAAAUUUUGGGGUCUUAGGGUGCGUUUGUUUUGCUAAAAAAUGAAAGACAAGACAGAACAACUCUAAUUGUCCAGUGUUUAAUUUGUAAAACUGUUUCAGGUACAUGACAACUUGGAGGCAAGGGACAGGACCAAAACUCAUAUUUUUGUCCCUCACCAAACCACAUCACAACUUUUUGUCCCACGUACAAGUUGUCUAAAAUAGCAAAAUAGUUUUUAUUCCUCAAAAAUCGUAUAAAACAAAAAAUUACUCAAUGCCAUAAAAAAUUUGUCAUGUGUUGUUCUACCUUGUGUUGUAUUGUUCUAUCUUCUACUGUUCUGUCUAGUACUUGCUGUUUUGCAAACCAAACACAUCCUUAGAGUUUUGACAAGAUAAAUUAAUUACUCAAUAAAUCUAAAAAAAUCAAAUAUUUUUUAUAAAUAGGACCGGAAGGAAUACUUAAUUGUAUGCAAUGCCUCCCAUGUUUUUCGGUAAUGACCAAAUUCAAUUAGCUAAGCACUUUUCGGGAUGAUUUCUCCCGCGAGCAAUAGCAUUGCUAAAAAAAAUAUACAUACAUAAACUAUCAGUUUCAUACUAUUAAUCUUCUGAUUUGUUUUAGCCACAAUUUUAUAAUCAAGCAUUCUUAACAUUUCAUUCUUAGUAAAUAAAAUCUUUAAUUUACUAAAUCUGUUGAUGAUCUUAGAUAGAUUUGGAGAAAAUAUUAAAAAGUUAAACUAUAUUUGUAUGUAAAGGAGUAAAUAAUAGUUUUAUCAAUGUAAAAAAAUUAGUAAAUACGAUUUAUUGGGUCAAUUAGCUUAAUUGCAAGAAUCACAUCCUUUUUUAGUGUUCCUUUCUUUUGAGAUAUAUCAGGAAUUACUUAUAUAUGAAUAGAAGGCAAACGAACAAUAAGAUGCGUCGAUAGAUCUUUUUGAAUGACACAUACCUUAAACGCAAAGAAGUGAGAAAUCACAUACAUCGAAUAAUUCUACAACUAUCAAUUAAGUUGUGCGCACCAUUAAUUGAUGAUUACACUUCAAUCAACCUUUGGAAAGUUGUUACAAUGUUAAUUGAUGAUUACACUACAAUGACACACUUUUAAAAAAAUUGUGGUACACGGUUAAUUGAUGAUUCCAUUACGAGGAGACUUUUACAAAAGAGGAAUGUUAGCAACACUCUCUUUUGAACACUCUCUCUAGCACUCACUCUUUUCUUGAGUGAAAUUAAUGUAUGUCCCACCACUUUAUGUGAGUUGUAUUUCCAAAGUGUAGGUCCUACAUUAAUUUUAAUAAAAAAAUGUUUUACGGAAAAUGCUAAUCCUUCGAGGGGAUGGGAUUGAAUGAGAAUUUUAAAGGGGUAACUUUUGCAUAUAUUUGUUAAUUUUUUUAAGUGUCUUAUACUUAUAUUUUGAGUACUGCUAUAUUGUAUGAGAUUUAUCAACGAAAUUCAUGGAAUGCACACUUGUCCAAUUUUUAAGGAAUAAAAAGAGGGUUAUGAAGUUGUUUAACAUAAAUCAUGGAGUAGUGACCAAUUAUUCCGAUCCAUAAGCAUUUUCAUUAUCAUUUUACGGAUUACAUAGGAUUGUUAGCUUUGUGAAUUUGGAAUAAACUGCAUUCGUCAUUUUUCAUUGUGUGUCUCUCUCGUACCAUCAAGCAUUAUCAUUUUUUAGAUGAGUGUUUUUUUUUUGAAGAAAUCCUUACACGAUUUUUUAGGGUUAAGGCCUACUGCCUUAUGGUUUAUAAGGCCAUGCUUUGGAAGACCUGGAUUCUAUAGCUACAGAAUUGUUCUGCAGUUGUAGGAAUUGUUAUGUUAUAUUUCGAGAAAAUCCCAUUCUCCAAUGAUUUAAACACACCCUACUUUGGACCACUUCAUUUGUUUUAACAAAAAUUGGACCACUUCAUUGUAUCAUCUAUCAUGAUCUCGGUGGAAGGUCUCGUUCUCUCUCUCAUAUUUAUUGUACCACUUUAUAAAGAAUCCCAGGAUUUUCUUAAAAGAAUCCAUGACAUGCUUUAUUGGUGUUGACAUCUCAAAUUUCAUUUCAUACUAUUUUUAAGUAAUUUCACCACCGUAAUGACUCAAUUUUAUAUAUAGACAACCAUGUUAUGAAAGUUAUCAAUAAUUUUGAAAAUUAAUAUGAAAAAUUCCUAGCUUCUACAAACCUCAAAAGUGAAAGAUUGAGUUUCAAUGGUGUUUGGUUUGCCUUUUAAGAAUUGUUUCUAUCUUCCAUAAGAAACUCUCCUUAUAGCUACAAUUCAUAGCUUUUGGUUUUCAUAGAAUCAAUUCUACGUUAAAUUUUAUAUUUUCAUUAUUACAACCUAUUAUUUUCCUAUUUUGCCCUUUAUCAAUUCUCCUUCUGUUUGCUUUGUAAUUAACUUGAUGAACCAAAUUUAAUCAGAAAACUUAACGAACCAAAUUAGCCUCCGAAAAAUAUUUAUUGUCAUGAGUUACCAAAUUUUGGAUUUUCUUUUACGGUGUCCCCAUUCAGAUUUAGUGUAUUUUUUCCUUUACCUUUCUUUUACGCUAUAUUUUAUCAUUUUUAGCAACUAACUUUAAUAUUAUUUAACUUAAAUAUAUUUUAUCAAAAAAAUGAAAUAUAUGAACAAAUAUUUUGUAAAAAAAUUAGUUUAAUGAUCGUAUUUAUUAUGUUUUAAAUUAAUAUAUAGAAAAUUUAUUUAUAUUAAAUAAUAUAUCUACAUUUAAUUGAAUUUAGUUAUGUCGUAAUUAUACAUUUAAAAAUAAUUUUGAUAAAAAUUAUCCAAACAACAUUCAGUUUGUUUAAUCAAUUCUACAUUAUUGUAUCCAAAUAUAAACUAAUUCUCUCAAAAUUAAUUCUGUCAUAAUCAAUUUUAUCCAAAGUUUAAUCAAACGCAAAGUAACUUUUCCCAGAGCCAGUUUGUUCAUGUGUAUUUUUCAAUAAAGUGAUUGAUAUGGGAUUAAUAAAUAAAUAGUAACCAUGCACGACGUCAUCAUAGUCACAAUAUAUAUUCAAUCAGCAUUGUAAUGUAAAGGUAUAAAUCCUAUUUUUACGCCAUACUAUAAAUAGCAAAGAUGUGACCAUACAAUGUAAAUUUGAUUUUAACCAAAAUAUAUUGCAUGCACGCAACACUCGAUUAUUAUCAUUAAUUAUGAAAGACAAUCAUAUCCGGUAUACUUUGAAGGUGCCAUGCACUCCAAAUGAAGGAAAAGAAAUGAGUAUAGGCAAUGCUUUAGCACAUGGGGACGAGUAAGGGAUUUAUCUAGAUAGAUGCUGUCCUUUUUCCUUUCCCUCUCUCAUGCAUGGCUCUUGAAGUUAUGAGUGCAAUCAUGUGCAUGUCAUGUACAAACAAAAUCACGAAUAUCAUAUCAAAAGAGUAACGAAAUUUGUAUAAUAUAUGAUGACAAUUUUGUUACUCCUCUGUUCCGCAAUAAAUGACAUAUUUGAAUAUGUGCAAUUUUGAUCUAACUUAUUUUGACCAUAUUUUUCUACUAAUAUACAAAGAUAAAUAAUAUCAUAUAAGAUGUCGUUAGAUUCGUCUCGAUGAGUAUUUUCAAAAUAUCAAAUUUUCAUAAUUUUUUCCAAUAUAUUAUUCAAGAUAUUUAAACUCAAAAUUACGCAUUGAUAUGCGUAAUUGGAUCAACUGUGUCACUUAUUAAGGGACGGAGGGAGUACAAUUUUUUUUAUUGAUAAAAAACAAUAGAAAAAAAAAAAGAGAUGAUAAGAACAUGAGUAUGAGAGAAAGAGAGCUGUUCAAAAGUUAUUACAAAAUGAUUGUACAAAUAUAAGUGUAAAAUACUUGGUAAUAUCGUUUCACCUACGGUGUUAAGUUGGUUAUUCAAUUCUUACAAUGUUCUUGCUAGAGAAAAUGCGAGAACACUCUCAUUUUAAGACAUUUUCUAUCACUUAUUAUUAUCUUAUAUGAUAAAACUUAUAUAAGUUUCAUCACUUUACAUAUGAUUUAUUUUUAAUGUGUGAAACUCAUAUAAGUUUUACACCAAUUAUAAAAGAAUGAGUGUUAAAGAGAAUAUUAAAAAAAUAUUCAUAGCAUUUAUGGUUCUAAUAAAGAGUACUCCUAGUAUCUUCGCUGGACACAUGUGGUAAUUGAGAAAAUGAAAACGAAAAUAAAAAUUAUGCAUUAUUGAUUUUCUAUUUUAAUUAAAAUAAUAUUUUAGUCCAUUCAUUUGUUCUUCUUGUUUUUUUUUUUUUUUUAUUUUACAAAAAGAAACAACAUUCAUUCAUUUACAUUGAUAUAGUAUAUUAAAACCAAGACACAAAUUUAAGAAUUAAACUCAAACCUUAAACGACUAAUAUUGUGAGACGGAGAGAGUAUUGCUAAAAAUGAAAAAAAAUGAUGAAUCUGCAAACAAACUCAUAAUAUCUAAAUGUAAAUUUUGAAUCUAUAAUCAUUUUAAGCUAUGUAAAAAUGAAAAUUUUAUGAGAAGAAUGUAGUAACAUUUCUUUUCUAACUCUAUUCUUCUAAGGCCUUCACUUAAUCUUCAUGCGAAUAAAAACCAAAAUAUUUUGAUAGUAAGAAAUCGUAUUCUCCCUUUUAUGUAUUAAUAAUGUUUCUCUAAUCCGUCAGAAUAAUAUGAGAGUGAUAAUUUGGAGUUCGACUGUGAAGUAAAUAUAAUUGACUAAAAAUAUUUCAUUUAAGAAUUAAACUCGAGUUGUUUCGAAUGAUCUAUAAUUUGGUCGAGUUUAUUAAUCACUUGAACUCAAUUUUUUUGGUGGUGAUUGAGGUUUGAGCCUCAAACCUUGUUUAUAUUAUGUAUUGUCUCUACCAACUCAGCCGAACUCAUGAGGAUAAUCAUUUGAACUCAAUUGUUAAUGGAAAAACGUUUCUUUAAUUAAUUAAAAUUGUUUCUAUUAAAAUGGGAGCACGAUAAUUGCAUUAAUAAUGAAAAUAAAAAAGUACUGGUAUAAUUGAACAAAGGCCCCACUGUAAUUUCCUCAACGAAUGAGAAAGAAAAACAUUAUCCGAUCUAUUAUUGCUAUGGGAAGGACAAGGUACCGGGCAUUUAUGAUAAUUAAUUAAUUUUGCCUUUAUUUAGGGGAUUAAUUUUGCUUUGUUAUGAGUACUUUUCAUAGAUUUACAAUAUGCUUAAACAUGGAAAGGAGAAGACUAACGAGUGUCCCAAAGAUAUUGAUUAAGCAUACAAAACAAAUAAGUUUUCCUAAAAAAUGUGCAUAACAUCUUAUAUUUUUAAGACAAAACUUAUAUUACUAGAUUCCUUAACUAUUGCUUUUGGGGUAUAGGUUAGCAAGAUCCAAAAAGAAAAUAGAAAAAAAAAAGUCAGCAACCAACUACACAAAUGACGACAAGGGAUGACAAAGAUUACACUUUUGAGUAAAUUUAGGAAUUUGCACUUUCCACUUUUUCAAUUUCAGUCUUUUUAUACCAUCUUGGAUAUUACUCCAAUUUUUACCCUUAACCCGGCAGCUUUAAAUAGUCCCUAUUAGUAGCCAUCAGAUUGAUAAAUAGAAACUCAUUGAAUUAAUUUCAACCCAGCAGCUUUAAUCAAAAUUUCGUAUAGUUUGGUGACCAUAUUUAAUAGGUUUAACAACAAUUUUGGCCCCAUAUGUUUUAAUAAGUUGCAAUUUUGGUUCUCUACCAGAAUAAAAUACAAAACCGUCCCUUAAAUAUUACCCUUUUGCAGUUUUGACUCCAGACCAAUUUUGAUCAAGUCAAAGCUGAGUGGACACCACGUAUGCAUUGAUUUGGUCAAAAUUGGUAUGGGGAGCCAAAACUGCAAAAGAGAUAAUACUUAUGGGGCGGUUUUGUAUUUUAUUUUGUUAUGGGUCAAAAUCGCAACUUCUGGAAACAUUGGGGGCCAAAACUGAUAUUAAACCUAUUUAAUAUGAUGUAUACAUCCUUAUGUUUUUAUUAGAGUAAAUAGUCAAUUUCCCCUCUGAAUUAACAAUACUUCAAUUUACAAGAAAAUGAAUGAAUAUAUGCCAAAGAAAUCAUGAUUUUGUCAUGUGGAGCCUUUUCAUUCAUAUUUCAUAUUUAUCAACAAGGAGCAAGAUAAAUUUUUUACAAAGAAGGUAAAACUAAAAACCAAACAUUCAAAAGAUAUCAAGUUGUUGAAAUAAACCAAGACAAGAAUGUCAUAGCAGCAGAAAAUUGAUAUCUAUCACAUAACUUUGUAGUACAAUGUGAUCUACCGGCUUCAUGCAGAAGGUAUAUGACAUAAUCUAUUUAACAUGCUCCAACUAAUAGAUAUGACAUUUCCUGUAUUAUAAAAAUUAUAUCAUUAAUUAAGUUGCAAAUUCACAAACCUAAGCCUUGUUUCUUCUUCCAUCUGCAGAUAUUAACCUAUGAAUUUUCUUUAUGGACACACAAUUAUCAAAGACUUGUGUACUUUAUGACUGCUUACUCUAACAUAAUUACCAACUUGUGUAAAAAAAAUUCUUCUAUAUAUGUAUAUAUUUAAAACACAUGAGAGUAACAUACCUUCCAUAAAGAUUUAUAUGACCAAUAACUGCAUAAACAUACAUUCCAUGCAGAUUUAUAUGAUCAAUAAUUGUUAAUUUGUUUGCCUUUAAUAUCUUGAGUCAAGGAUAAAAAAAUAAUAUAAAUUUUCUAGUUUAGGAGGCAUUUUGCACAUAAGUGUAAAAUUUCAGGGGGGUAUUUGAUCAUAACCGUAAACAGUUAACAGAAAAAUUUGACGGAGGGAGUAAAUUGAUUAAUGUUAUGCAAUUUCAGGGGGGUAAUUGAAGUUUUGUUAAUUUCAGGGGGUAAUUGACGAAACCUAUAAUUUCAGGGGGGAAAUUGACUAUUUACUCGUUUUUAUUAUAAGCAAAAUUUCAUUUUUUUUAUAUUUAUUAAAUAAUUGAUAUAUUUGGUCUAUAUUACAAAUUAGAUAUAUUAAUAUUCAAUCCUUUGUCUGAUUGGAUAAAAUGAAACUUUGAUGGUGCUGCAAUUGGAGUACCGGGUAAUGCAGCUUGGGGUGGUAUUUUUAGAAACUAAAAUGGGGAUCACUUAGGAAGUUUUGCUUUCAACAUAGGCAAUGACAACGCUUUACAUGGUGAGCUAACCGGAGCAAUGAUGGGAAUAGAAAUUGCAGCGUCAAAGAAUUUGUCGAAACUUUGGUUAGAGACAGAUUCCAAAUUAGUUGCUUCAGCUUUCAAGAAUCCUUCUUUAGUUCCUUAGAGAAUAAGGAAUCAAUAGUUUAAUUAUAUUCACCUUUCAUUAUAUAUGAGAUUUUUGGUUGCUCGUAUAUUUAUGGAAGAAAAUUAUUGUGCAGACAAAAUGACAAAUAUUAGUUUAACUUCUCAGAAUUUAGUUUGGUUAGAUGAUGUACACAGGGAUAUCAGAGUGGAUUUUAAAAAAGGGCAAUGCGGUGCAUUAGAGCUUCCGCAUAUGCAAUAGAAAUGGGCCAGCCCGCCUCGAUCCGUUUAUGAUUGGGCCGUGAAUUCUAGAGCCUGGCCUGGCCUGUUUAUGUUUUAUUUUUAAAAUUUAUUCACUUUUUUGAUGUAUUUUCGUAUGUAUUAGUUACUCACCAUUAUUUUUUUGCUAAAAUAUGAUUGGAUGAACAUAAAAAUAUAAAUAAUUUUUACAUUAACAUUGAAUAAUAAUUAAACUCUAGAUUAUUCUUUCAAUUAAAUCAAAUUAAUAAUUUAUAAACUUUAAAAUUUAAAAACUGCAAGCUAAAUUCAUCCAUAUUUAUUAAGUUUAUUUAUUUAAAUAUUUUUUUGUUAAUAAAUUUUAAAUUAUUUGAUAAUUUUUUUAAAAAAUAUGUUGUUUUUUAACAAAAAUAAAAUGAAAUAUGGGCUAAUGGGCCGGCCCAAAGUCCGGUGGGCCAGUCCGACUCAACUUUUGUAUGGCCCAAAUGGGCUUGGGCCGAAAAAGCCCGAGUGCAUUUUUUGGUUAGUUUUUUAGGCCCGGCCCAUGAGCCCGACCCAUUUUUGACAGCUCUAAUUGUACGCAGCUUUACCUUGUUUUACACAAGAGGCUGUUUCCAGGAUAUCAGAGCGGACUUUGCUAGGAACAAAUUAAGGUCUCUCUUGUUUUCGCUUUGCUAACUGAAAGGGUUUUGGCCGGUAUAGUCUACCAUUUCCUCUUUUGUUCCCUUUUUAUUUCUAUAUUUACUAGGGGCAACCCGUUUUUUUGCUUAAAAAAGACAGUAAAAUAACAUCAUCAGUGUGUAUAUCUCUAAUAGCGACAUUACUUCUUCAGUACGACUUUAUGAUGAUCCACGAGUGAUUGUAUAGAUCAUGGAUUCUCUCUAUUUUUUAGUAAGAGAAAUGGAAUUGGAAAUGUAUAUUAUUAUAGUUUUGAAGUAAAUAAAAAUAUAAAUACACGUCUGUGUGAAGUUAUCUUAGUUAGUAAGGACAUUUAAUAAAAUAUGUAGGGGUCGGUGUUCGAACCUCAGAUAUCCUACUUAUUCAUCUUAUAAAUGUCAUUUUUUAGACAAUAAAUUACUUGAUUAAAUAAUAAUGAUAUAAUACACUUUUUUUUUUUUUUAAAAUUGAAGACAUUAAUUAUAUUUAUGGAGUAUAUCAAAAACUAUAUAGUAAUCAAGAUGUCUAUUUAUUAUAAGAAAUAAAGAUGACUUAUAAUAAUUAAGAUGUCCAAUUUGAAAAAUCUUUUAAAAUAACUAAGAUUUAUUCAAGAGAAUGAUGUCUAGCAAUAUACUCCAUCCGAUCUCAAUUAUAAGUAAAAGUUAAUUUUUUAUAUUAAUUCAAUAAAUAAUGAAUUCAAUAAAUAUUAUAGACAAAAUAUAUUAAUUAUUGAAUGAAUCUAAAAAUGUAAAUUUUUGUUUAUAAUUGAGACCGGAGAAAGAGAAUAUAGCACUUUGAACUUGAUCCUUUUCAUGUAACAUGUCCUUCAUUCUCUCUCCAUCAUCUCUGCUCUCUGCUUGGAUUCUAUCCUUCACCGUACAAAGGGGCAUGAGAGAGAAUAGAAAAUUGUAGGGUAAGAAAGAGGUAAAAGAGGAGAGAAGAGAUGAGAUUGAUAGAGAGGAUAUGUAUGGUGAUUGAGAGAUGAAAGAAGAUAAUCCAAAUCAAUGUUCUUACUAAUACAGUGCGUGGUCGUCAUGUCAGAUUAAUAAUACAGUUCAUGCACAUGAUAUUCAAUCUUCACAGUAAUAACUUUUGUAUUUUCUAGACAAUGUUCCAAUCAUUUUUUUCAAAGAGUUGAAAGUUUAGCAUAGAUAUAAAUUAGAAAACUUGGUUGAAAAGUAACAAUCGAGCAAAAUAAUUCAAAAUUAGCAGCACAAGUCCUGCAACAUUAUGACAUCGUCUACAAAACAAUAGUAAGAUAUUGUUAACUAAGAUUUUCAGAAAAUAAGAUUGCCUCAAAAACUAAAUAAUUAAGAUUUUACUCGCAUAUUAUAAAUCCAUAUAUAAUAUUUAUAUCAUAAAACUGUUGCAUUAUAAAACAGCAUUUCUUUUAAUUUUAGUUUUUUUGUACAUAAAAAGCAAUAAUAAACAACUCAUUAACUGUACCUUAUAAAGGACCACACAUAAUGUCUCUUCACAUGAAAACGACUGCUCUAUGAAUUGAUUUUUUAUUUUUUUUAACAAAAUUGGAACUAUCAUUUGCUUGAUAUCUUGUGGAAACAGACUAAUUUUUAUAGCUCUUUGGAAGGCGAAUUCAACUCUUAGUAUGUUUGUGGGGCAUUAUUUAACCCAGCCGCUGAAAAUAGCAUAGGGCUGUUGAAAUGAAAUACACUAUCUGUUUCUCAAGUUCAUUUUAGGCAGAACUCCAAUUUGAAUUCUUACCCAUAUUAUUGAAAACUAUAAAACAAAAUCAAUACAAUGAUGGUAUCAUUUAAGCAACAAAAUGCACAAACUACAAAUACAUUAGCAUAUGCUUUACAUUAUCACUAUUUAUACAACACGGUAAUCGGCUAUGACCAACCCGUAAAUGUCCAUAUUAGUUUUGCUCAAAUGCAAUUGUAGUUUGGUCUUAGCCUGUCUAGGCUAUAAGCGCAUACAACCUUAAAGCCCUAGGAGAACCAGCUCACCUCUUGCCGCGAGGUCCAGGCCCGCCACUUCUUCGGCCAGGAGACCGAGAAAACUGAAGGCGCAAGUAGCUUGACUCAGGAUUGAUUUCAUCAACUUUAUAGCCUGCAUAACCCGUGAAGAAAUGAAUGCAUAAUUAACAGAAAAUCAUAAACAACUUAGUUCAAAUCCUAAUAGAGUUUAUCAGCGACUAAGAUACUUUAGGAACCAAUAAUUUGCAGAAUUUUGUAGUACAGAAUACAGAGGAGGCAGACACACUAAAGUGAAGGAUGAUAAUUAAAUCAGAAGUGAUGACCAUGAUAUUGAUAGUUAAUAUAACAGCAUCCCAGUAUGUGAAAAUUUAAUGUACUUUUGACCUGGAAUAUUACAAACAGAACCAUGGAUGUUGGGACCCAUUUUCAGUUUUAACUGCUCUAGUAACUGUAAAGUAUUGGUUUGAAUCAAGCUCUACAUCACAUGUAACUCACACAUUCAGUGUGACAAAGUGAUUUACAACUUUCCAAGUUGUAAACCUCGGUAAAUCUAUGAAUUAUUACUUGUUUAUAAACAUUAAAUUCAUCACCACUUAAUAACCACGUCUUGAUUCAGCACCAACUACCUAGGUGCAGUUUUCAAUUUUUACAUGCUCUAUCAGGUUAUAACUUAUAUAGAUGAUUCUCUAUUGGACAACUUACAAACCCAUAACAUGAAAUCAAUUUCCUUUUAUAUCAGCAUGUAAAAAGAAGUGAUACCUUGCAAGGCGCUCAAGGCAGUUGCUGCACAAGCCGGAUUUGCAAAAUCUACAAAACAAAGGAUUAAAGGAUCUCCACCUCGCUGCAAUAAACAAGCGUUUCAGCAUAAAGAGCACAACAGAACUUUAAACCAAUCAGGUGAUAAACCAAGACAAAAGAGGACAAGCAACAACUGUUACAAACAUGCACUUACAUGUUUGGAUUCUUUGGCCACAAGUCUUACUUCUCUAUAUCCGACAAAAGGGCGAAAAAUAUCUAAAUAUGACGUUAAGGAACUUGAAUAAUUGAAUUAAAAUGAAUAAAGCCCAGGAGACACUGAUUAAAGCAUGAUAAUGCGAUUUCUAAACAGUAUCAUAGAAAAAAAUAAAAAAGAUACGAGCCACUUCUCUUUUUGUGCUGUCAGAUGGGAGCCCUUCAACAUAUAAAGUACUUGAAGCAUCUCGGGGUAGUGGUAUUGUCUCAGGCCCGGGCCUGGAAACUGCAUCUAUAGGUAGCUGACCACCAAAAUUGACAUCACGCCCAUUUCGUGAAAGAUCAGGGCCACCACCAACACCACUAAGAUGCCCCAUGGCAGAAGGAUCACCCAGAGAAUGGCCUGGCAAUUCACCAACACCCCUUGCAAAUCCAACACCACCAAUUACACUAGCCUCCCCAGAAUUAAAUGAAGUAAGCUGCUUCACAAUCAAACAGGAUGAUAGUUUUCAGCAAACAACCAGUGAUAGCUAGCACCUGUGCGCACAUUAGAUGUAAAAUAAAAUGGGUUAUGAUAUUACCCCUGCACUCUGAAGGAAGCGGUCAUAAGCAGACCCGAGUAUUUUAGUGUCGUUUAGCAUUUGGUGACCAUUGUUUUGAGCAAUAUAAUUAUGCACCUCAUUGCCUGAGGUUACACCAGAAGGUGCCGUAUCUGCAACAUUACAUAAUCUGGUCUCAGAACUUCCACAUCUUUAGCAAAAAAACUAAAUCAGAAAAAUGCAUUUAAAAAGGUUUGGUUUAUUUGCAAUAGCAUAUAUCAUUGCUAUUCUAACGAUCUUAUAUUAUAGUGUUGGGUUGGGGAGAAAUGAAGAAGAGGGGAGGGAUCAUUUUGAAAUUUCCUUGUUUCCAAUUUUCGGGGAGAGAGGGAAGGGGAGCAAAAUCCUUCCAUACUCAAUUUUGACUCACCAUUCGGGGAAUCAGAGAGAAGAGCACAUAAGAAAAGUAUCUUAUAUUAUCAAGAUAUUAUUUAGAAAUAUCUCAUAGGAUUAGUUUUUUUAGAUUAUCUCUUAAGAUUAGUUUCUAUUGUAGUUAUUAUCACCGUUUAUUCCCAUAUUCAAUUAAGAUUAGGUGUCUUGUGUCCGUAUAAAUACAGGCCAUGCUUAGUUGUUUUGUAUCAUCAAAUCAAAAAUCAUGAUCUUAUUUUCCGCCUUUAAUCUUUCUCUAAUCUUUUUAUCUAAAACCCCAUAAUUUAAACAUGGUAUCAAAGAGAUCCACCGCUGGAAAAACACAUUCUAGUGAGAAUUUUCGACAAAGCCAAUCUCAAAAGCAGCUGAAUUUGCCGAUCUUCCAUGGCCCAAAAUUUUGAGCCCAGUUCUCACACUUCACUCACAAAAGCUCUCAGGCCGCUGCUUCAAACCCACAUAUCAUGUGACGCUUUCCCAGGGCUUAUGAAAUCGCUGCUGCUACUGUGCUCGCUGGCUUUUUCUAGUUCAAUUGUCCAUUUGUUCGAUAUUUGGGUCAGCAACUUUUGCUACACUUUGAUAUCUGCAAGUUGUGUCUCUUCCUUACUGGCCUUCAGCUGCUUCUUUGGUGUUGGUGGUACUGUUUUGCUAUGCCACAGUUAAUACAUGCUAUAGCUGCUACUUUUUUGUUUUGGUUUCUUUCAAAGCUGUUGUGACACCUUUCAGUUAGGGCUAUAAUGUUGUAAGCACUAGCCUAGUAAAGUUUGAAUUUGGUUUGAAGUUGUGACACCUUUCAAUUAAGGCUUCAGUUGUUGUAAGUGCUGGCCCGAUGUUGUUGUAGUUCGGUUUACUCGUUGUUCAUAAAAAUUAGCUAUGGUUCUUGCACUAGUUUCUCUUCCACAGAUUAUAUUUGAAGCAAGCUUAAGGUGGAGUAAGCUUUAGCUCAAUGGGGAGUGUUAAAGAAUAUAAGAAAAUAUCUAAUAAUAUCAAGACAUUAUCUUGAAUUAUGGCAUGGUUAUUUUCUUGUCUUUUGAGUAUAUUUUAAAGAUUAGUUUCUAUAUUAGUUGUUAUUAUCAUAAUUUGCUUUUCUAUUCAUAAGAUUACGAGUCUUGUAUCCCUAUCGCUUGGCGUUAGAGCUUAAACUCAUUGUAGCACCAAUCAUAAUCUUAUUUUAGUCUUUAGUCUUUAUCUCCUCUCUUUAUCUAAAACUCCAUAAUUUAAAAAAAAAAUAAAAAAUAAUUGAGCGCAGUAACAAAAAUAUUCAUGAUUAAAAAGUAAAUUAAAAAUUUAUAAAGAUAUAAAAAGUAAAUGAGUCAUUCCCCUCCCCCCUCCCCUUGUGAACGAGAUGGUAACCUCCCCUCCCUCAGUUGAACGAAAGAGACCCUUAAUCAACAACUGUAAUAGUAUACAUCUAAAUACGCCACGUGUUAGAAAAACUCAGAAAACUAAAAAACAUGUGCCACAUACUGCCAAGCAAUCUAACAACAAACAAGCAUGCUUUACGAACAUUGCUAACAGCUACAAAAUUGUCAGUACAACCAAAAUUGAUUGAUAAAUCCAGCAUUGCUAACUGACUAUUUGAACAUUUGAAAAAGAAUCUACGAACAGAACAGAAUUACAAAAUAACAUGAACGGAAUUAACAAAAACAAACUGUAUCUAUAAAAAAUCAGGGACAAAUUCCACACAUUGUCCAUGAACUACUCAUCACACUCUAGAUUCUAGAUAUAGCAAAAUAUCAAAAUAAAGAAUAUAUAACAGUUAACAAAUCAAGCAUUCCGAAUGGUCAUGUAGCUAGUGGUCUCCACAUAAAUGAAUUCAUAUAAAUCCGUAGCAAAUUUCUGCACCUACUUCUGUUUUAACGAAAAAUGAUUUUAAAUUAAAUUCAUACAUCCAAAUUUGGUGUAUGAUAGAACACUAUGGCGUCAUUUGAUCCAUGUAGCCGACCUCACUUAGUGGGAUAAGGCUUGGUUGUUGUUGUUGUAAUUGGAUGUUCUUUCUUUCUAAAAAUCAAGGGGAAAUAGCUUCUGUAACUUGUAAAAUACUUUUACAAAGGGCUUUAUAAGCACUGCAAAAGGACGAAACAAACUCCCUCAAACCAGCAUACUAAAGUUUGGACACGAUGGGGUGAGCCCGGAAACUUUUUUUUAAAUGGCAGAUGUUAGUGGUUAGAUUAAUAUUUACUCAUUUGUCCGGGUUUGAACCCAGAACCUCCAACCCCUUAUCCCUUAGCUCAAACCAGUUGAGCUACCCCCCCUGAUCUAAGAUAGACGAUACAAUCUUAGAAUUUAGGCAAAAGGCCUAACUCAACCCCUACAAAACCAUCUUGUAAGGUGAGGAUUGCCGAUUGCAAAGGCCAUAUAAAUGGGCGAUGUAAGACUAAAUCUACUCCCUCUAGCAAGCACGCUAAAGGCUUGUACUACAGGCAAUGAAGAAAGACAGAACGAUUCAAUUACAGACUGUUCGACCAAAAUAUUAAAUAGCAUCUCUUAAAACAAAACAAAAUGCAUAAAUCAAUAUUAAAAUGUUGCUAAACUUUGGAAAACAUAAGAAAUGAAAUACGAAAAGGCUAAUCGAGUAUAGUAACACUCAGUUUGUCCUUGCAGGCAGUAUAGCGUAGCAGAAUUUGAACAAACAACUAUUUUCUGCAAUCCAGGUAAUUCGAAAAUUUUGAUGCCAACUAUCAUUUAUAUAAAUCACAUAUCAGAGAAGCCCACAAUCUAAUAAAUUACAAAGACCUAACACUAAAUACCAAUAACUUCAAAGAUUGAUUUUUUGGAAAAAUAAAUUACAGAAAAUGGGAUUAGAGCUGCUAACCAUAUUCAGUACGGGGUCUUUUGAGCAUGCCGCCGGGAGGAGGGAGAUGCUGCUGCUGUCGAUUCCAGAAGCCAUCUGCCAUUGCGAGAGAUCAAUAGAGUGAUCAGAAAAAGAAAUUGAUGAUGAUGGAGUUGAUGGGGAUGGUGGUGAAUUGUAAUGGUGUAGAAGAUAGGGCUAAUUUCGAAUUCAGAAACCCUAAUUUGGAAAAUGAUAAAACCCUAAUUCUUCUUCUUCUUCUUCUUCUUCUUCUUCUUCUUCGUAUUCGAAAGAUCAGAAAAACAAAAUGUUCAACAGCUCCAUUUUUGUUUUUCUUCCCUAAGGUCUCUAUAAGAAAAAUUGGAGGGUAUGAAUAGAAAACUUCUAUCUUCAUCUAAUUUGGGCCAUACAAUGAAGUUGAUGAAUCGAAUUUGGGCCACAUUUGACGUAAUGGGUAACAGAAAAUUUUCGACUAUUACUUUUCCCACCAUAUGCCUUUCCUCGCGCACCCUAUUUUUUUUUUUCUUUCCAAUUUUACCCGUGGUCCGGAUUUCGUUUUCCGGAUGGUAUUGUUAGAAUUUUGCAGAUGUUUCCGGAUUUAAAAAUCCGGAAUAAUGUUUUACCAGAAGUUUUGCAAUUUUAAUCUUCAAAAUUCAUAAAAUAAAAUAAAAAAACGGAAAUAAAAAGACACAAACAUAAAAACAAUUCAUUUUAUUAAUAGGGUAAUAGGCUUUUACCCCCUGCAAUAUAGGUCACUUUUGGUUUUCCCCCCUGUGAAAUUUUUUUGUCAGAUUCCGUCCUUGUAAAUUUUUUUUGUUUUGGAAAACCCCCCUAGGCCAGCUGACUGUGCAUUUUCGCUGAUGUGGCACGCUGACUGUAUAAAUUUUAUUAUUUUUUUAUUGUGUACACGUGGCAUUUGUGAUUUUUUUUUAAAAAAAAUUUGAUAAAAAUGCUGAAAAAAUAAAAAAAUUCUGAAAAAAAAAUUUAAAAUAAAAAAUAUGAUAAAAAAUCUCAUAAAAUGAAAAAUAAUGAAAAAAAAAAAAUCAAUAUAUAUCGAAAUUUUCGAAAAAAUUAUAAAAAAAAUCUUAAUUAAGUUCCUGAAAAAUUCUAAAAAAUAUCAAGUUCCUGAAAAAAAUUUGAAUUUUUUUUUUAAUAAUUUCGAAAUAAAUAAGCUUUUACUAUUAUUUGGAUUUCGGUCUUAUAUACUAUAUGGAAAGACCGCAACAGAAGGAUUUUCCAAAACCAAAGUGCACUUUUGGAGUUUCUACUUGAAAGAGUCAAACUCCAAACAUAUUGGUGGUUGAAAGCUAAUUACAUCUUGUUCGUUUUUGAUUAUUCGUAUUGGAGAAUUAAUCCUUUACCUUGUUUACAGACUGUUUUGUAAAGUCUGUUUUUGGUUUCUGUUUCAUGGCUUUCAUAGCCUUUUUGUAUUGUAUUUAACUUUAUCAGAUUCCUCAGGCACAUCUUGUAUGUGCCUGAGGGAUUGAUUUUAAUAUAUUUCUAUUAGUUUCUUCAAAAAAAAAAAAGAUUUUUAGAAUUUCUAAAUAAAUUUUCUUAUUAUAAAAAUAACACUUUUUAUAAAAAUUUCGAAUUUUUUUCAGGAACUUGAUCUUUUUUAGAAUUUUUCAGGAACUUAAUUAAGAUUUUUUUUUAUAGUUUUUUCAUUUUAUGAGAUUUUUUUUUCUAGUAUUUUAUCAGAUUUUUUCAUUAUUUUUUAAUUUUAUAAAUUUUUCUAGAAUUUUUUAUUUUAUAAGAUUUUUUUCGUUUUUUUAUUUUAAUUUUUUUCCAGAAUUUUUGUAUUUUUUUUUUUCGUUUUUUAAAAAAUUUUAAUUAUUUUUUUUAAAAAAAAAUCACAAAUGCCACGUGUACACAAUAAAAAAAUAAAAAAUAUACAGUCAGCGCGCCACGUCAUCAGAAAAUGGUGACUCAGCGUGCCACAUCAGCGAAAAUGCACAGUCAGCUGGCCUAAGGGGAUUUUCCAAAACAAAAAAAUUUUACAAGGACGGAAUCUGACAAAAAAAUUUCACAGGGGGGAAAACCAAAAGUGACCUAUAUUGCAGGGGGGUAAAGGCCUAUUAACCCUUAUUAAUAUAUGAAUAAUACAUUACAAUAAUUUUCAAGCUUUUUAAGCUUAUUACAUAAGAUCAUAAAUCUAUUUCUAAUCUCCUAUGAGUCUAAUUCUUAUCUCCUAAGAGCCUAACCACUGGUAUGUGAUGGGACAAACCAGUAGUUUGCCUAUUGGAGGAAAACCGGAGGAGGAGGGAAGAGGAAGGCGGGAAGAAGAGAACAAUGUCCCCGAGGGAGAUGGGGGGUACUCAAACUUAUGCUCAGACAGACCAAGCUAAGAACCACACUGACCUACAUGACCCUUAGAUGAACCGCGCUUCGUUGCAGCGCAGUUCCAUCCUCAUUGACCGUUCAUACAAACCCUGAAAGUUUUCAACGAGGCCCUUAUCUAUGAAAAGCCAACGAUGGAAAACCAUGGUUGUAGAAGGAAGAAGAGGAUGAGAGGGUGGGAGAGGAUGGUGUGAGAAAUGGUGGGGUAAUUUGGAAGGCUAUUUAUAAGGAGGGGUGGGUCAAAAACGGUUGGGAGGCCAUAAAUGCAGUCAAAAAACGCGUUUUAUGACGUUUUUUGACUUGACCACCGACAAAAACGUGUGAUGCAGACCACCGGCCAUUGUAACACCCCGUUUUCCCAAUAUGAAAUUUUCUUAAAACAUUUAUCAGAGUAAGCAUCGUAAACAACGGGAUAUCAGAUAAACGUAAUCCAAAACAGUUAAAUAAUGAUUUAACCAAAUAUCUUUAACAUCGCAGCGGAAAUUAUGUCAUAGUCAUAAAACGUUUUGGCACGCAGGCCUCAUCUUAAAUCUUAAAAGAAAUUAGUUCAUAAUCAUAAACAGCAUAAAAGUCACGUAAUAGAAUGAAGCAUGCAUAGUCAUAAAGCCCCAUCCCGUUACGUAUCAGAGCGACCUAGACGACACAGUGAAGGCAAGGCCACUCACGACGUAAACAGCACACUAAGCUCGAUCACCUGCACGUUACCCACGGUCGAGGUAACAUUCAAACAGAAGGGGUGAGAUUUCAUAACAGAAUAGCGUUAAUCAAUGCAAUUAAGAAUCAUAAAUUAACAUCCUAAUCAAUCUUGAUCAUAAUCAUUUUAAACAUAAUCGUCAUUGUAUCCUUAAUAAGCAUUUAUCACGUAAUCACAUAAUCAAUCAUCAUCAACAACAUAACAUUAUCACGUAAUCACAAAAUCAAUCAUCAUCAACAAAGCAUAAUAGACAUGACAAUGUGACAAUGCUCCUAGACUCCGUAUAUGCAUGUGGUACCAAUCGUCAUCAUAAGUAUAAAUAUACUUUAAUCGUGCGGAGGACAAAGCUCCUAAUAAUCGUGCGGAGGACAAAGCUCCUAAUAAAACGUGGUGAGGACUAAGCUCAAUGAUAUGCUAUGCAUGGACUCUUAACAACAAAACAUCGUAAUCAUGUGCAUUCAAUAACUUGAAGCGAAACGUCAUCAUUUUCAUUAUAUUCAUAAAUAAACAUUGCAUACUCAGUUAAAUAACAGCAGCAGCAUAGUCAAGUCACAUAUCAGCAGGGAGAUAUCAAUAUAUCAACAGCAAUUCAAUAGAAUCAUAAUCGUUUCAUUAUAUCUCACAUAUUGCAUAAUACAUUAAUCAUGCUCAAUUAAUAUCAACAUAUCUUAAUAGCUUUACAGACUGCAUUAAACGUUAUCAUAAGGUUUCAUUACCAAUUAGGGGUUCACUCCUGAUCAAAAGGUGCGACACAGAUCGCACAACCACUCAAACAGCUACAUUCUGGACUUGCUCGCGAGGCGAGAGUUCUCACUCGCCAUGGCGAGUACCACUCAAAUUCCCAACUAAUGUUGUUUUGGGUUCAAUCCUGUCCUAAAAUCAUUCCUAAUCAAUCUCUAGGUAUGUUUAGGCACUUAAAGGCACUCAAGGUCCAACUAAAAAGUCGAAACUACAAAAUAUGACAUGCACUCUGCCUAAGCUCGCGAGGCGAGGAAGGGUUGCUCGCCAUGGCGAGUUACACCAAACAACUCGCGAGGCGAAGGGAAAAGGCUCGCGUGGCGAGCGAUGAACUUCAUCACUCGCGAGGCGAGGAUCAUAGCUCGCCGUGGCGAGCGAUGAAUGUCGCUACGGCCAGGCUUCCUAAAAACACAAAAAUCCGUUGAUUCACAUGGUUCUAAGCUUGGUUUUGGUUCCAGAAUUCUUCCUAAACAUAUUCUAAGGUUAAAGGACGGUUCUUUCAUCAAUCUAAACAAGUUUUACCGUUUAUUCUCAAAUUUUAGGGUUUUGACCUAAUUCCAAAACUUCUCUAAAUCAAUCCUAACUUUGUCAACUAAUCAUCAGAAUUACAGAGAUUAAUGUUACUGAGUUAUUAGUCCCACCCUUACCUGGUUAUGAAGAAAUCGCAGCCCUCUUUGGUCUCUUGCUCCUCUCUAAGCUUUUUCUCCCUUUUCCAAAAGUUUUCACGUACAAAGUGUUUUUUCUAAACCUAGGUCUAUUCUUUUAUAUCUCCUCUUAAAAUACUUAUCUUAUCUCACUUUCUCCCCCAAAACUAUCUAAAAUAUCAAAACAGCCCUCAACUAAAUAUUUUAUAUUAUUUUCAAAUCUUUAUUCUAUUUAUCAAUAAAAUAAUUCUCAUAUCAUAAUCAAAUCCUCCAAAACUCAUAACUUAUCACGUCAUCAAUCAAAUCACUAAAUUCACCACAAAUCAUCAAAACAUAUCAAAAUCAUGCAUAUACUAUAUAAUUAUAAUAUAAUGGCCUAAACUCGAUUAAAUAACGAUUAAACGAAAGUGGGCGUUACAGCCAUGACUGAUGCAUUCCGAAUGCACAUCUGAUUUCUGGAAUAUAUUUUCCGGAUUAAUGCGAUAAUGGUGGUGAACGAGGGAAAAGUUGGCACUUCCUAUAGAGUCAAGGACAUUUCGGAAUGUAAAAUUCGGAAAGAUUCAAAGCCAUUAAUGUGGAUUCAGAGCCAUGACUGUAUUAAUGACCUAGGACUUGUUUUAGGCUAUAAAUAGGCUUCCAUCUUCAACAAAUACCUUCAUUCUUCACUUCACCUCUUUUCUUACAUUUUCUUCAAAUGUUUUCUAGUUUUUUCGGGGUGUCGAUGGUGUCAUGGUCAUUGUUGACCGUUCAUAGGAACCCUGCAAUUGCAAUGCAUUGCAGCUUGUGUGGGGUUCAUAUAACGGUCAACAAAGACCCUUGACAUCAAAGAAAUACACAGAAAAUUACAUAACAUCUGGCCCGGAUUUCUGUUUCCGGAAACACUAACAAUCUGGUUCGGAUUACGUAAUCUGAACUAGGGGUAUUUAUGAAAUUUUUGCAGGGCGCGCGAGAAGGCAGCAUGGUGGGAAAAGUAAUAGUAAAAUUUUUAUCAUAUACUCCUACAAUUUAUUAAAAAUUUCAAUUUUGUCCCUGAUGUUUAAUUUUGUACAUCUAAAUUUUUUACCAUUACUUUCAAAAUUUCAGGGUAGCUUAUCCCCACGCGAGAUUAUAGAUUUGUAUUUAUCGAAAAACUAUAAUGAACAUUUUCGGUAGUUUAUUUUUUUCGAAAUCUUUCAAUGGUUAUUUCGAUUCGUUAUUUUUUCUUUAUCUAUAAUAUUCAAAUUGAGAUUUUCAUAUUAAAUCCAGAAAAGUUACUUCCGAAAAACAAAUAUACACUAUAAUAUAGAGAUGCAUGAUUAGUGUUUUGAAAGAUUUUAUAUCAUAAUUGAAAAUGCAAAAUUAGAUUGUUGCAGAAAUGUCCUUAUAAAGUGUUGUGACUAUCUUAUUGGUGUUAAGAUUUUAUAUCAUAUAUUGAACAUUGUUAAUGAUUCUUAAACAAACAAUAUGUAAAAGAAAAUACCAACAGUUACUCACAAACAAAGUGUAUAUAGUGCAUUGAAGUGUGAUGGAGAAGUAUCUGGAACACUAUUAUGAUGUUAUCUCUUGGUUAUAGGUGGAAAAUCAGUGAUGGUAAUGAUAUUAAUGUCUGGAAAGACCUAUGGAUCCGCACACGUUAGAAUUUGCUGCCUUCCUCAAUUCUCUCAAACAAUUUCUUAAUAUGAUUGUCUCUCAGCUUUUCAAUCCAACAACCAACACUUGAAAUCGUGACUUUAUUGUUUAUAUCAUGAACAAUGGACACACAAGAUACAUAUGAUAUUUGUAAGUUACUUUUGCACUCUGAAACUCAUUUUGACACAAUUAUUUGGAAAUUAUGAUAUUCUGAUGUGAAGCUACUACUCUACAUCAAGCCCUCCAAAUUGCUCUUGACUUUGGCCUGAAUCGGGUAGUAUUCGAAAGUGACUGUCAACUAGUUGUGAAUAUAAUCCUUAAUAAUAGCUCCUAUAUGAAUGAACUAGAAAGUUUACUCUCUAAUUGUAGGACUUUGCUUUUAUCUAAUACUAGUUAUGCUCUAGCUUAUAUUAAGAGAUAAGGUAAUAUAGUCGCUCAUAACCUUGCUCGAGCGUCUAUAUUACAUGCUAGUCCCAGUAUUUUCUCUUAUCCUUCCGAUUGUAUUCACUAUAAUAUUUUGGAUAAAAUCAAAUGAGUUACCUUUAAAAAAAAAAUGUAAUGUUUUCCUUGCAGGUUAAGCUGACCCACGUGAACAUACCAAAUAAUUUUCAGAAGAAAAAGUGACAACGGUUAUUUCAAGCCAUCGAAAAAAUUGGAAAAAAAAUAAUAAAAAUAGUGAAGAUUUAAUUUAAUCUUUAAAAAUCUGUAAAAAAAAACUUAGUCCUAGAGAAGGAAAAAAAAGGAACAACUCAAUUUCUAGUGAAGUUGCAUUCAGAAAAGGGACAAUUAACGAUAAUUAAAAACUGAUACUUUAAUCUCUUGACAAUAAUAAUAAAAAGAUAAUUUGAUUCAUGCAUUAGAAAAUGUCACUUCUACUACUGGUACCAGCUAUGACUUCGGUACCCCUAAGAAAAACUAUGACGUUAAAAAUAUAGAAAUUGUCUUGUAAAUUCUAUUACAAAUCCUCAAAAUAAAGGUUUCUCUCAAAUCUCAUAUGAAGAGUCUCUCAUCUAAUUCAUUUUUUAUUGAUAAAAAUAUAUCUAAAAUAUGUUGAGGGAUAAGAUAACACACCGUGAUGGUAUUUAUAUGUUUCAAUAGAAAUUUGGAUGAAUAUGCAAUUAUAUGUGAAAUACAAACACUUCAAGGAUGAAAGAAAUUGUAGUAGUAGUAGUAGUAUAAUUUAAUAAGAUAUUGCUAGAAGAAAUAUGAUUAAUAAAGUACUAGGGAAAGAAAAUAUCAAGUACCUUUCUCCUUAGUUUGCUUCUUUUGGAAGGAAUAUAUUCUCCAUUAUUAGUUCCAAUGUAGCUACAGAACUUCCAUGCUGAUUCCAGAAUAUUGCAAGCUCAUUAUUCUAACUGCACAUGAGUGAUCAGUAGUAUAUACGAAUAUUGUUUAUUCAUUUCAGUAUAACAGUAUAUAAUUCUAUUUUCUACAUAAAAUACAAAUGGCCACUAUAGUUCCAGUAAUUUAUACAAGCAUCCUCACACCCACUCCAAACAAAAAUAAAAACAAAAGGUUUCAAAUUCAAAUCUAGAUAAAGAUGUCCAACCUAACAAUAUUGAGUUAGACUUUACAGACCAUUAAACUCUCCAUUUAUUAGGUGUUAAUCUAAAAUGUUUUACACCACUAACACAAUCAUAACUAAUAAUGUAUGUGACUUUAAUUGGUGUUGUGUGUGGCUAGCUGCCUGUGAUUCAUGAGGUGCUUGGCACAAGUUCUAUGUAAAUUAAAGGCAAUGCUGAUUUCAGUUUUGAAAGGCCAGAAAAAUGUAAAUCUUCGGAAACUAAAAGAGGGGACUCUUGUGAAACAGUUUGUGCCUUUUUAGGAGGGAUUCUAGGGGUGGAAAACAUGGAAAAUGCCUCGUGAGAGUGAAAACCAUUGAGUGAUGAUUCUAAGAGUGUAAAAAAAUAUAAAUUUUUGGGAUGUUAUUUGAACAUUGAGAGUUAAAAUUUUUGAUCGCUCUUGUAACUCUCUUGAUUAAGGAAAAAGAGUGAGAAAAUGGUCGAAAUCAAUUUGCUUUUGGAGAGCUUAUGGAAGCUAAUUUUUUGUAACUAUUUGUAUCUUUUUGUAAGAGGAUUGCUAGCAACAUUUCUUUUCAACACUUUCUUAAACAACCACUCUUUUAUUGGAUGAAAUCAAUGUACAUCAUACCACUUUAUAGGAGUUUCAUUUCCAAAAUGUAAGACCAUAAUUGUUUUAACACAAUUAAAGAGUGCUCAAAAGAGAGUGUUGCUAACCCUACUUCUUUUUGUAAAGACUUUUUGACGGUGGAUUGGAGAGAUGCUCUCUCUCCUUAUAUGUAGGUCAUUUUUGGACUCAAUUGGAUAAAUAAAUUUUUUGUAUGUUGUUCCUCUACUCUAUUCUCUUUUAUCUUUGUUUUUUUGUUUCCAUUGUAAAUUUUCUUUACACAUAGAUUAGAUCUAAAUUUGGAUAUUUUUGCUUGAUUUGUUUGUAUAUUAGAUAUCAUGGUCUGAUCUUUGCUCCACACAUUUAAAUUUAUUAAUACGGUUUGAGUCUGAAGUCACAAUAUCAUAGAAAUAUGUCUCUUAUUUUAGGUUGGAGAAAAUAUUUUAUCUGACCAUCGAACUUUUUUUUUUUUUUUUGGUUUUAUUUAAAUUUAGUUUUGAGUCGACACACCAUCAAUGUCUAAACUUUAAGCUCAACUUUAAUUUGUUUCCUUUUACAGAAACUUAUAAAAAAGCACUGAUUACAACACAAUCAACCCUACCAUCAUCAAUCUGUCCCUAAUAUAUGUCUCUGUUACCACACGGCAAGUGGGUCCAAUUUUGUAUCCCUCUUCCUAUUUUGGUACAUUUCGUGGGCACCUUAAUUUCGUUGUCCAAUUUAUUAUGCCAAAAAAACACAAUUCCUUAGUCAAGCUACACAUGUCUUCCCCUCUCUCUAAAUUAUAAUCGUUUAGAGUUUGUGUAUGAUUAAUAAAAAAAUGAUUAAUUAUGUUAAUUUUAAUGAUAAAAUUAAUAUCAUUUACUAAAAUAUCUUUAUUAAUUAUAGUUAGUGGAAUGGUUAAGUUGAAUGAAAUUCAAUAAAUAAGGGUAUAAUAAUAAUAAAAAAUAAUGUUGCGUUAAUAUUCUAAAGUGACAAUUAUUUUGAAAAAAAUAAAAAAAAGGCUAAAGAGACAAUUAUUGUGAGACAGAAGAAGUAGUGAGACUCGUUCCGUAAAAAAAAAUGUAGUAAUACUCAUCUUCUCCAUCAAUUUCCUCUUAUAUGGCAUUGGUUAAGGAACGUUUUAAUUUAAAAUACUGGGUUAUGCUAAUACGUGUCAUGUUAAGGAUUUCACAAUUAGUUUUAUUAAAAAAUUUAUUUUACCGUUUUGAGAAAUAAAUUGACACGAUUUCUAAUACAUAAAUUUUAUUUUUGUUACCUUAUCAUGUGUUUUUUUUUUAAGAAACAAAAAUGGAUUAUAUUAACAUCGACGGUAAAACCACUUCAGCACAAGAUGUACUAAAGGAUCACCCCACAAAGAGAACAGACAAACAAUAUUUACACAAGUUCAGUCAGUCGAUACCCAAACAUAACAUAGGGUUCGACCAGCACAUCUGAGUGCCAUGCACAAACAAUGCAUUAUUAGCCUUUAACCACCACAAAGCGUGAAAUUAAACCUUUUCUAUAAAUUGUUAUAUGGUAGUUUAGAUGUUAUUAAAUAUUCUAUCAUUACGAGCACUCCAAACCACCUAGCUUUUAAAAAAACACAUUUUUAGACAGGAUCUAUUUCAUUUUAAUUUAUAUAUUUCUAUAUGCCUCCAAAAAAAUUAUCCUUCUUUUUAGAAAAAGGUUAACAACACUCUUUUUUAACACCUUUAUUCUUACUAUUUUAUUAAGUGAAAUUCAUAUCAGUCUCACUAUUUUAUAUAAGGUUUAUUUCUAAAGUAUAGUUCAGUUGAAAAAGAAGUGGAGAUUAGAUAAAGUGUUAAAAAUAGUGCCCAUUGCAUUUAUAUAUAUAAUUUUCUCUAAGUUGAUUGAUAAUAGUGAUUGAGGUCUCUAUGACAUCACCUCGUGAUCAUUUAAUGCCCUAUAUAGAGAGAGUUUAGUCCCCAAGUCAUUGAUUCCACAUUUCUGUGUGAGACUUAGUACACCAGUUUCAAACUUUCAGUUCCUUUAGUCGGCCAUUAAUUUCCAUGGAGGCCCACAAUUCACCUAACCAACAACACUCACCCUGUAUUUAAUAUGCUCCCAAUCCUUAUACUUACAUUAAAAAUAGAUAGAUAGAUAUGGUCUCUCUGGAAAGAGUUUAUAGAAUAAGAUAUCACAAUUUACAACUCGAAUUUAUUAAUUAUAAAUUAAGUUCAAUCCAAAAGAAAACUACAAUAUAUAAAUAGCACACAUACUUCACAUUAUAAGUUGAUUUUACAAGAACGAGUUUAUUUAUUUAUUUUAUAAGAUUUCAUAUAAAAAUAAACAUACAUAUUAUAUUUCUCUUUCUCCUUUCAUUACCUAAUUCAUUUUGGCAAUACUCUUACUUUUUGUCUGGUUAAUUAGUUUCUACUAUCCACAACUUGAUGAAAACACCCUCCCUAAGGACCCGUUCCAAUGCCUCUUAAGUCACUUUUUAAUUGGAUAAAAGUAUCCUUCAAUUUUAUUUUUGUUGGAUAAAAAGUACUGUUGCUUCAUGUUGUCUCAUUUAUUGCUACAAGCUACCAAAAGCAUAGCACAAAUAUCACUCCCCAACAGCCAAAUCUUAAAGCACAUGAUCCUGCAUUUACUCUCCUCCCCCAUUUUUCCGCACCUUGUUCUUCUUCAUUAAUGCUAUCUUACUUGGUACCAUUUCCAUAAAUUCAUUCAUAUUUACUUCAAAUGCAAGCCACCCUAAUUUGCACUACAUAAAUUCCCUUCUUCAUUUAUUAACCUUGCUUCAUUAAUUCACCAUUCUUUUUAGGUUAUUGUCUUGUUAUAAAGGAAACUACACUUUGGUUGGACAAAAUGAAUAGGAUGCAUUUCAAUGUGGUACUAGUGCUUCUACUUUUGGUGAUAUAUUUUGUUGGUCAUGGUUAUGGCUCUAGACACAAUCAAGUUUUCAAAGUUUAUCCCAAAACUAAGGAUUUUCCUUCAAGUGUCCUUGGUUUGUUGCCAAAAACAAUGCCAAUUCCACCUUCCGGGCCUUCUAAGAAGCACAAUGACAUUGGAAUACAAAGCUCAAUGGGAAAACCAUAGAGGGUUAUAUAUCUUAUUCCUUCUUAUUAAUUUCACCUAGCCACUAUUCUGAUCUUAUAUAGAAAACCUAAUAGGUAAUGUAUAUGCAUGGUGUAUUUAACUCUUCAUUGUAUUUUUUGUGAUCUUUACCCUUCUUUUUAAUUUUCAUUUCCCUUCUUUCUGAUUACUUUUAUAUAAGAUCAUUUUCAAGGGACAUAAUAGAAUAAUUUCAGAAUGAGCAUAGCCUUUAAAGGGUAUAUAUAUGUAGAUUUGUCUUCUCUUCACAUAGCUUGUGAAUGAUAUAUUUAACUUAAUUAAUAUAUGAUUUGCAAUAUAGUAUCCUUAAUGUUUUGGUUCAAACUAAGAAGUGUUUAGUGGCUUAAUUUGCUUAAGGAUAAAAGAUUUGUACAAGCAAAAGAGAAAAAAAAAAAAGUAACAAAUUAAAGUUACAUAGUUCAUGUAUAUUGAUAUUUAAUUAUGUUUGAUUAUUUUUAUUAUUAUGAUCAAGUAAAGAAAAGAAUGAAGUUGCAUUGUUUAUUCUAGUUGCUUCAAAUUAAGCUCAUGUAUUUGUGUUCUAAUUAAAUCUAUGAAUUUCUAAUUAAUUUCAGUGAGAUCUAUAGUUUGAAUGAUGCAUGCAAUUAACUCACUGUUGGUAAGAGUGACCAUACAUAGAUUCUCAUAAAAUUUAGGGAAGUGACUUGCGAAUGGUCAUUGUUUUGAUUUGAUUUUUUGAUCUUACUAAUUAAAUGCCAAAUAAAUGGUUGUACGAGGACCAUUGUUUUCCUAGCUAUACUCCAUACUACGUUCCCUAUAAUUGCGAUAACUUGUAUCUUGUAGCUAACCUAAUGCCUAGUUUUUUGUAAUUCAAGUACUAGUGCUACAUAGAAUUUGUCUCAAUUACUCAUACAUGCUAUACUCGACUACUUAACAAGUCAAAUUGAAUCAUUUCCUUCCCUUUUAUCUUCUUUUUCACUCCCAACUUUCUAUCUCUCUUAGUCUUACUCUCACUCUCUCUUUCUUCAAUAUGUUUUUAUUUUUAAUGAAGAGAAUCAUAUUAAGAAAGUGAUAGAGUGGGAAGAAGAGAAAAGAGAAUCAGAUAAUCCAUAUCCGAUAAAAGUAGUUUAACAAAUGAAGUUCAUUUUAUCAUAGAUAUAAACAUGGUCAAUUAUUAUUUUUUAAGAAGUGUACAUGAAUUGCUUUUAAAAGACAUUUAAUCGGUGAAAUAAUUUUUUAAGUUAAUCAAAAGAAAAUGACAUUUGCAAAAAAAAGAUUUGAUUUUUUAUACUAUAUUAUUGGUAUGAAGUUUUCACCGUUGGUUAACAACGAUCAUGGAAGAUUUUAAUAUUUAAACCUUUCAUUACAUUUAAUUUUUAAAGGCUGAGAUUUUACUCAACCCUCUAAUCAUCGAAGAUGAUCCGGUCUCCACCUCUCGUCAUAUCUUUGCUUUCAAACCUAGAAUAUGAGCCAUUUAAACCACAUAAUUGUUUAUAUUAUUAUAUUGGUCAAUUUGAAAGACCAAACGCGCAAAGGAGGAGUAGUAAAUAGUAAUCAUGUCUUGAACUUUUUUGAUUUAGGUACUUAACUAGUCUUUUAACAAAUUCUCAAUAACAAUCUUAGCCAAUAUUUAAAAAAAAAAAAAAAAUUAAACUAAACAGUUAUACACGGAUGAAGAAGUAUAUUGUUUGGUUAAACAAUUAUUUUAUGGACAUGAACGUGUGAGACACCGUCAUUAUAGUUUAUGAAUGUAUUAAAAUUGCAAAUCUAGAGACUAAAAUUGACUAAUAAAAUACACAAUUGAGGAUUAAAUUGACUAACAAAAAGAUCAAAAGGACUAAUUUACGAGACACAUGAGAACAUGUUUGUACUUUAUCUUUGUAAAAAUUAAAGCAUUUAGAAUCCAACAAAAUUUGGAGAUCAAAAGGACUAAUUUGAUCUUUGUCUCCAAAAGAUCAAAAAUAUGAAAUAUUAUUAGAUAUCUUUGUAAAAAUAUGUUUAUAAAUAUUAAACUCUAUCAGACAAAAACAUAAAAAUUAAAGCAUUUAGAAUCCAACAAAAUUUCAUAAUUUAUUUUUGAAUUUCUUAGAUAUCUUUGUAAUAUAUGUUUAUAAAUAUUAAACUCCAUCAGACAAAAACAUAAAAAUUAAAGCAUUUAGAAUCCAACAAAAUUUCAUUAUUUUUGAAUAACUAAUAAGACCAUUACAGAGAUAACUAUUUUUAUUCAUGGAGUUUGCUGACACAGGCUAGAAAAUAGUAGAAUUAUUACACAAAAAUAAAAAUACGUAUUUAUGAAAAGUUUGAUAGAGCAAUUAAUAUCUCCGUGGACUUUACUUAGUUGAUAGAGAUUUUGCAUAUUAUAUACAAUUGUUCAUAGUAUUUCAAUCUCUAACCAAACGCAAGCAUGUCUAAUAGCUCAUGUGAAAAGAACUGCGGUUCAUUCUUUAACUAAACGUGCUUUACAUUCAGUAAGUAGAUUCUGUUUAGAUUGAAGAUUAUCAUUCUUGUAUUGAUUUUUCCAUUACCACUGAUUUGGUUGUCUAAUGAAUACAUUUUUCUAUCAAAAGAAAAUAAUCUAACACGAGCAAGUCAAAGGUGGUUAAUGCUAAAUAUUAGUAUACUUUUGGUGUAAGGGAGACAAAGUUUAAAGUAGGUUUGGCUAAACAAACAAGGAUUGUUGCUCAAUUCUACGGAUUAUUGUAACCCCCUUUGAAAAUGUAAGUGGCUUGGCUAUUUGUAAAAUUAGUUUUAUUGUAUGUACCAUACAAAGAAAAGCUUUAUGUUUCUUUAGCAACGACUUGUGAAUGUAGAUGUUUACUUCACCAAAAAAUUGAAGACAUUACAUCCUAAUGAUUUCAUUUCACACUUUAAUUCAUUUAUAAUAACAAAGACUUAUUGAUUAAGUGAAAAAGCGUAUGACUUGCAUACGAUAUUGAUCAAUGAAAAAAUAAAAAAAAACUUCUAACAAGACUUAUUUUCUCCAUAAAACUAAAAUUCUAUAAUAUGGAGAAACUUAGAAAAUGUGUUAGGACAAUUUUUUUUGGAUAAAUCUGCAAGACUUUUUCAACUUCUUCAAAUCAUUUUUCUUUACAAAUAAUUAUGUUUGUCUUUAGAUUACUCUUAAAACCAAAACAUAUUAAUCAUGGGCACUCCUCACUCUUCUCUCCCCACUUUAAAAAUAUUCCCCAAAUAAGAUGAGAAAUUCCAAUUAAAUAAUAAUUUACAAAAGAUAUCACAAGUACAUUUUAGGCAUGAUGUAUACAAUAUACACAGUGAUAAUAAAACAAAGCGCAACAGAGGGAAACAAAAAAGAACCAAGAAAAUAAUGAAGUUAUAUCCAUGAUUUUAUAUACACUACAGAAUACAACAUAUAUGUAAAGGAAACCAGCCUAAAUAAAAUGGAAGACACUUAACUUAAAAGAGAAAUUUUUAAAAAAAGGUUGAAGAGAAAAAUGAUAGAUAAUAAAAGGUGCCUGGUUCCUUCAUAUUGAUUUCCUACAAUUAUAUUCAUUGCAAUAAAAUGUGUCUAAAAGGAGAACUUUUCUCCAUCUAUUUUCCUAAAACUAUUAUAGAACAGGUGAACCAGCACUCUCUGCCCUCUGUGAUGCCUGGCUCGACGACUUGUCUGAGCUUCGAACAUUGUACCUUUCAUAUACCCUAUCGCGAUUCUCUGACCACCAAGUCUCUGCUUGAUUCUCUCCAAAUCUUCUCCGGCUGCAUAUAUGUUUACCACCAAACACAUCAAACAUGCAAGAUGACAAGUGUAAGAUAAUUUACAAAUCUUAGCUUAAAGCAACAAUAACCAUGUAUUGAGUGAUAGAGGCUAGGACAUUAUCAAAUGAAUCUAAUAUCGUGUAAUAUGAGAUGCUCAAUGAAGUACUAAAGUGGUUUAAUUCCUCUCUCUUGAAAAACAACUUUUAAGGGAGAAUUUUCCAAGUGUCUGGGUGCUUAUCAUUCUGUCCCUAGAUAUAGAAUCUCUGAGAAAUUUUCUUACCCUUUUUAUAGGACUUCACUCAAAUUUUCAACUGCAUUAAUUAUCUCUCUACUAUAAUACCCCUAAUUACUUUACCCUUUUUUUUGUAACCAACAGGUAAACAGUAAAUAUUGUUGUGGGAAUGGGAAAGAUACAUUUAUUCUCCCACAUCAAGGCUAAACUAGGAAAAUAACACAAAUUGCUAACAUAUUUAAUAUUACUAUUAAUUGUCUUAAUUCCAAUGAUUUAGUCAACAAGAUCCUAUUUAGGAACGGAGGUAGUACCAACAUCCAUUGUUGGCAUAAGAAAUAAGGUUAUUACUUAAAAAGAAAUGAACCAAUGAUUGUAACGAUCUUUUAAACACAAAUCUUUUUUAACCUACUAAAUCCCAACCAUCACACUGACAAUUAUAAAUGGUAAACUAUUGAAAGCUAUCAACAAUUAGCAGUCACAUAUAUAAGUAUAGAAGCAGAUAAAUAUAAUCUAGAAAUGUUGGAGAUUUCUUUUAUUACCUGAAACGCACUCUCCGCAGAUCUCUUGUUCCAUCACGCAUGGCAACCAGAGUUAUAUAGACACCAGGUUCAUACUGUUCAAUCCAUUCUGCCUCAACUUGAUUACUAUUAGCAGCCAAGACAUCAUUCCUUGAUCUGGAACCACUCUCAUCAUCACGGAAAUUCCCAGAAUUCCUACCAUCAAAAGUAUCCGACACACUACUGUUGGUUGCCUGAAUCAUACUGCCACUAUUUGGCAAUCUGUCAUCUCGGUAAUCAUCUGUCCCAUUAGAGGUCACAGAUGCUCGGCUUUGCUGGUAAAGAUUAGUUGCAUAGCUUCCAGUUGAAUUCCUUUCAGUUCUAUUCAUCAGAGAAGAUUCAAGGCCUAAAGAAGCCAAGCUGGAGCCACUGAUCGACUCUGCCCUUGUGUGGCCCUGCUCGCCGUUUGAGUCUGGAUGGUGGAUGCCAUUUGACUCGACGAAACCGUUACGCAGGUUCCCUGGUCUGAUGUUAUCAGUAUCAUAUGCACCAGGAGGAAGCCUCUCUGCCAGAUCUUUGAGCUGAAAAAACAAUAUGAUAUGUCAAUUAAAAACCACAUAUUUAUCUUUCAAAUUACAUGAAAAAAAUCCUUCAAAAUACAGUUCCAAGAGAAAUAAAUGAACCAAAAAAUUAACCUGUGCCGUAAGUGACUUAAUAACUUCUUUUGCAGCCUUGGAUUUGGCAGAUUCCUCAGUAGCCAGUACCAUAGCUUCUUGAGUCUUUUUUGCUGACUUUUUAAGCUCUAACUCUUGCAGCUCACAUCUCUGUCUCAGGGUCUCAACCUAAUGAGAAUUGUGUUAGAUUUCUUUAGAUACCAAAAUAGGUGUGUGUGUGUGUGUGUGUGUGUGUGUAUAUGAUAUGAGGAGGGAUGUAUUGACUCCAAGAGUAACUCCACAUCUCUAUUCUUCGUUUUAUUUAAUCUAAUGGACUAAAUUGAAGUCUUAUUAAUUAUCAUGUAACCUCAUCUUCCUUGAUCAUUUUCACAUUAUUAACAAUUGAAAAUAAUUCUUUUAUUAAACCGAUUGAAGAAAAACUGUAAAAAGUUGAGCUAUGCAGUUGAAGAGAAGAAAAAAUGAAUUCGGUAUAACAAAUUAAAUCUAAAAGGCCAUCGAAAAUAAUUCUUUUAUUAAAUCGCUGGUAGAGUUAAUUACUACUUGUAUAAGUAAGUAGUACAACAAGUUGUGUCUGAGCAAAGGAGUUUGAGAGAGAAUACACGAGAAAACUGAUAGAGAAGGAGGAAGGAGAAGGGGUAACUAGUAAAGAUGAAUCAUGUGUAAUUAAUUUAAUAUGGAGCUUUAAAUCUGACCCGCACAAUUUGAUCUAAUGGCUAUUAAUGGGUCCUCUCAUCUCACAAUAGAUACUCCUCUCACUUGAUAUAUAUAUAUAUAUAUAUAUAUAUAUAUAUAGAGGGUGUAUCAAAUGAGAGAACUUUCUAAAUGAGAGGGUGAGAGGAUUGAUUGCUAGCCACUAGAUUAAGAUGAAUGGUUAGGAUUAAACUGGUCACUAAAACACAGCACGCGCUUCGUUUUUCUUCUCUAUUCUCUCUUCGUCCAGUUUUUCCAGAAUUUGUCCAACAAUUUCUUCUUCUACUUGCAAAACCAAACAACAAUGCCGACACAAAAACAGUAUGUGUAAUUUGGUGAAUCGAUGGUGAAUUAAGCAUAUUUUAUAUUUAUUAAUCAAUUUUUCCCCAAAAAAUUAUGCACAGAACUCCAAAAACAUCCUCCAUGAAUAUCACUUGUAAAGAAAUAUAUAUAUAUGUACGAAAGAUGAAACAAUCAUUCGUUUAAUUUUACAAAGAAAGAUGAAACCAAAUCGGCACUAAUUUGUUAAACGAAAAUAAUAGCAUCGUCGCGACUUAGAGAAAGCAGAAUCAAGGGUUAUGAUUUUGUAAACGGUGGCCGGAAAUAAUAGUACCGAAAUUCUUCAUCUGGAUCGUAGAGUUGAUUUUGCAAAUCAGAAACUAUAUCUGAGGUUUCGGGAGUAAAGGAACGAUUGAAAAGGUAAGGAAUUGGAAAAGUAUGUGAAAGAAGAAACAUAACGCGUAAGAGAGAAUGGAGAAGAAAAACAAAGCGCGUGCUGUGUUUUGGUGACCAGUUUAAUCCUAACCGUUCAUCUUAAUCUAGUGGCUAGCAAUCAAUCCUCUCACCCUCUCAUUUAGAAAGUCCUCUCAUUUGAUACACCCCCUAUAUAUAUAUAUAUAAAAUAUAUUAUAUAUAUAUAUAUAAAAUAUAUAUAUAUACAUGUUUGGUGUAACAGUGCACAUGUUUGACAUGGUGUCAGUAUGUGCCAGACUCAAACAUUACAGAGAAGAAGUUCAAAAUGGAGGAAAAAUUCUGCAGUUUGAUUGACACGACGGAAAUGAGGGAAGUAUAAUAUACCUGAGAACGCAACUUCAACACUUCUUGAUUCAAAAGAUCGUUUGUUUUCUUCAAACUAUCAGUAAUGCUUUUUGAGAAGGCAAGCCCGGAGGUUGUCGGAAUGGGCGUAGCUGAACGAGGGGGGCUCGAUCUUCUAGAGAAAGGUGACACGGACCUGGAAUUCACUCCAGAUGGCGUAAUAACAGGUCUUGGAACAGUGCGUUUAAGGUCCAUAGCAGUAGACAAGACAACAUCUUUCAGCUGUAGCAAAGAUGGAGCUUGCGUGGUGUGAGCCAGAGAGAACAUAUCAGCCUUUUUCCCUUGUUUGGCUGCCUUACUAUCUAACUGCUUUAUCAAAUCCAUAUUCGAAGGCACGGCUGGCUUUGACAAUCUUAGCUCAGACUUUUCUAAUCUGUCCUUGUUUUCACCUGGAAAACGUGGCAUUGCAUUCCUCCGGUUGUUAAUGCUAGAUUCUGCAACCUUGUUCAAUUUUACAUAACAAGUAUCACAAACACGAUACAGCUUCCCAGGAUUAGGAGCAAGGGCUGCUCUUAAUGCUUUCCUUGAACUGCAUGAAUGGCAGUGCACAAGUCCACAAUUAUAACAGUUGUGACGCUUUCUAGUGAAUCCAAACGCUUGUCUACAGGUAGAGCACUGAGACUGCUCGGCACCAGAUACCCACUUAUGUAGGCAUAUGGCAGCUGAGUAAUUUGAACCACAUGCAAUAUAUUUCACAUGUCUAUCCUUCAAGGCUUCAACCAAAGUUGGUGUUUUUCGAUCUUCAACGUCUCCAUGACCCAAUCUUCCAUUUGCACCUUUCCCCCAAGUAUAAACUUCAUUCCUGGACGUUAAAACAGUAACAUGAUAAGCCCCACAUGCAAUUUCUUCAACGCAUUCUCCAGCAAGCUUGUCUUCAACCAAACAGGGAAGUUUUCCAUCAGACUGGGGAUUCCCGAGCUGGCCGUAAACAGUGCUGCCCAUUGUAAAAACACGUCCGGACGUUGUCAGGCCUACCGUCAAACUGUGCCCACAAGCAAUUCUAUGAAAAUUGUAAUCGAUAAGAGCAGAUAUACAGGUUGGUUCGAGCCUGGCAUCCUUGUCUCCGUGUCCUAGGCGAUUCUUAUCUCCAUCUCCCCAAGUAAACAAUUUACCCGAAGAUAUACUUGCACUGGAUUGUGUCACAAUGACCUCUACAAUUGCUGCAGUAUGCCACACUCCACAUGCAACAGAUACUGUCCUCAACCCAGAUAAGGAUUCUACUUCUCUAGGAUAUGAAAUAUUUUCUCUAUCUCCAUGACCGAGGACCCCGAAUGUUCCAUCACCAAAUGUAAAGAGCUGCCCAGUUGAAGUUAUCAAGGCUGUAUGCCAUGGACCGCAAGUGACAAAGGCCACCUGAAGCCCCUCUAGUGGACCCGCGAUUCUCUUCGGUAUCCAAUGACUAACAUCGGUUCCAUGACCAAGAAGUCCAGCAUUGUGAGUGCCGUCGCCCCAUGUAUAUAUUUCCCCGGCCAUUGUAACAGCACAGGUAUGAAACUCACCACAGGCGACAAAAUCAACAGUUGAGGAAGCCAGUGCUUCAACUAGACAAGGUUGAACCACAUUCUUCCCAACACCAUGGCCAAGACGUCCACCAGAUUCUUCACCCCAUGUAAACAUUUCACCUUGCCUUGUGACUAGAGCAGCAUGUUUAACACCGCAUGCUAUUUGAAGUACAUCCAAAACCACAUUGGACUCGAGUGGCUUCGGGAGGAGAAUGUCAGUUCUCGGGCUACAAUAACUGACAUUUUUAUCAGCUCCAACUUUUACAACAUUCUCAGAGAUAACCUCCCCCCAUAUGUAUACAUCCCCAAGAGCAUCAUAAUCAUCCGGUGCAGACCCAUGACUGGACGUACUGGGGGCACUUGAAACACUAACACGAAAAACAUCUGAACUAGAUCCUUUCACUUGCAUAUUUGGUGAGUUUGCUGGUGCAUGUGACUUUUCAAAAUUUACGGUAUUUUCAGGAUGAAAGGACUUCGGAGAAACGUUUGGUAUGCUGGCAGAAAUGUCGGGAGAACUGAUGUCUUGAGAAGCACGAACUGAACUUUCACUAGGACUGUUUGAAGUCAAAUUUUUACCAUCCUGAAAAUAAUUGAGCCAGAAAAAACUAUAAGCAACAUUCCACAUAUUUUAUCAUUCAAACAAUCACACAGCAUAAUGGCAUAAGGAAAAGUAGAGGAACUUUGGAGAAGCUAUAAUAAAAUAAGUCUAUAACUUUACCAACGAAGGACAUCCUCAUGGAAAAUUUAAGGUAGGAAAAUGCCAAAACCAACUAUUUCUUCAGAGGAAACUAAUAAUUACUCUUACAAUGAAGCAGAACACAACAGGUUUUCUCAAUUGUGAUUCAUCCAAAAUAUUCAUUUCAGAGAAAAUAAUGAAACAUGCCAUACUGGCUCAAGAGUAAGAUCUAUCAUCUUUUCCCGUCAAUACAUCGUAGUACAAGAAACAAAAUACAAGCAAAAUAAACGAAUUACAAAGGCAACAAGUAGGUGAUUUUACAUCAAGAUACAGGCCUCCAUCACACCAUCCAUCAAUUUUGGACCGCCCACCUUGACCAGAAGAUAUCAAUGCCCCGAGACCAGCAAUCCACACUUCUGCCUCAACUUUAUCCUUGCAAAUCUGAAAAAUGACCAAAAAAUAUGUGUAAUGCUAGAAAAUUCAGAAAAUAGGUACAAAAUAAGACGUGGUUAUUGAUGGAUUUUUAAACUUAAGUACCAACCAAAUCAAGAGAUCGCUUCCCGUGGUUGUAAAUAAGUGAAAAAGAUAAAUAAUCCUUCUCAGGACGCGGAAAUCGCUGGAAAACAGCCUGUCAGAGGAUUAGGAAAAAUAAUCAAAUAAGAUAUCUCUUUUUGACGCAAUAAUCAAAUACAUAUAAGAAAGUUAGGCUUUGUUUGCGAGUUGGGUUUUGGAAGGGAGGGGAGGGGAAGGAAAUGCUUAUGGAGAGGUAAACCCUUGUUUGGGAGUUUUAAAAAAACACGGAAAGGUUUUGGGGGGUUUUGAAGGGCUUCAUUCGUCCAAUUUUAAAGUUCCCCCAAAUUGGGGGGUUUUGGGGGGGUUAACCAUACAAAUUAAUAAUUUUGUCCUCAUAAUAAUUCAAAAUUCCAAUUAUAAUUUACAAGAUAAAUUACAAAGUAUAACACAAUGUAUUGAUUUUAAGAGAAAAAAAAUGAUAAAAUAGUAAAAUUAUCACAUAAGCCCUCCAUCUCCUUUCCUUGUUGGUUUUUUAACUCCCAAACAAGGGGGAGGCUUUCCCUCCUUUCUCCCUUCCCUUCCUUCCCUUCCCUUCCUUCCCUUCCCUUCCCCUCCUAAGCUUUUCCUUCCCAUCCCCUCCUAAGCUUUUCCUUCCCAUCCCCUCAAAACUCGCAAACAAAGCCUUAAUUGAAUUUUUUCUAAUUCGCUAUAAAAGGUAUUAGUAGUAUGAUAUAAAAUAGUAUUGUAGAAAUCUCACAGUUCUUUGUCCAGGAAUAAUUUUCGAGACAGAAGAUAGUUUCAGACUUCUUUCUUCGCUACUCGAAAACCAGAAUAAUGACAACUCAUCCUGCGGUUUUCAGAUAGUCCAGUGAAUACGGUUAGAAAUAACUCGAAUGGGUGUCAAAACAGAAGUUUAUAAUCGUGAAUAAGACCGUCAAAAGAUACAUCAGAUAAAGAAGCACAAGUUCAAGUCACUACUAGUUAGCACCAAAUAGAGAAAGUUAUGCCUUGCAAAGCAAAUCAGUAAAUCCAACCCAUAUCUAAAAAGAUUUUAAUUCUUCAAUUUUUCCCCCCUAAUUGAACAUUUAUCAUUGUGAAGCCUCAACAGAUCGUACUAAACCCAAAUGUGGAAUCAAACCAAUAAAUAGCAUCAUACCUUGCAAAUUAUAGGGCCCAUUACUUAAGAUACUGAAAAAUCUAUGCUAAAUCCCACAAUAUUGAGUAGAAAUAGUUCUUAAUAUGGGAAAAUUACUUUAUUGAAUUGCUUGAGGAAACCCUGAACAGAAAGUUUACAUAUUCAUCUAAGAAAUUUCAUAAAGGAGGAAAUCAUACAAGAGUAAACAAGAAAAUAAGAAUCUAAUAUUAUACAAAAUACAAGAUACUUUCCAACAAUAGUAAUAAUAAACAGUGCCCUGCAUCUGUCCACCAAAAAGCAGAGAUGAACCAGAGAAACCCAUGUGCUAACUCGAGAUUUGAGGAAGUAUUGGUUUUAUCCAAGAGACAAAGUUGCACAAAUUAAAACAGGGAUAAACUCAUGAGUCGUACUAGGAAGUUUUGAGCACAAAUAACUGAGCGGAGAUUAAAAUGAGUGACUAGUGCCAUAGAAAAUAUAUACUAGCUAGAAGCAUUGAUGAAGAGAUGUCAAAGAGAUUAAAAAGGCAAACAGAUGAUUUUUUGUGAUUGGGAAAAAGCGUAUACGAAAGGCGCUUUAUAAAAAAAUCAGGUUUAGGGUUUAGAACAAUCAAAGAUCAUAUGCGAGGAGACCACGACUAAUGUAAAAUUACAAUGUGAAAAAUACAGAAGAUUUCCCAAAUCCAAUAACUAUGGGUGUGCACUAAGGGUCAUCUUUGAACCUUUCUCAAGUUCCCUUUCUAUCUUGUUACAGGAUGGGUUUGCUAAACAAUGUACAUGAAAUUAUGGGACAGUGUAUGCUUUUUUGUGGAAUAUAGUUCUAGAUGGGUCUGAGAAUAAAUUAUUGACAUGUUAGACAUAUGGAGACAAGCUUUAGAAACAUGUAACCUCCACCUAAAUAUGAGAGAGAUGUAAAAUUACGUGAUAGAAAAGUACCAACCAAGUACAAAGAAGUUUUUACCAGGUAGCUACAAGACCUAUUGUGUUAUAUAGAACUGAGGCGAUCAAAAGACAACAAAAGAGAAAACUUAGUGGUGCAGAGAUGAGAAGGGUUAUCAUACUGAGGAUUGCCCAAUAAUUAGAGAGCGACUAAGAAAAACUAUAGGUCAAACCAUCAAGAGAUAUUUAGAGGCAAAUGGUCAAUCGCUAGACCUAGUACAUGAUAUAGGACUUUAUGGCAUUGAUUGAUGUAUGUAGUCGACCCCAAUGAGAAACUACUCGACCAUCGUCAUUGUUGUAUUUGUAAAUACCUUUCAUGACAAAAUAUUAAGGCAAUGCUUGACUUAUGUAGUUGAUCCAUCUAAUGGGAAAAUAUUUUAUUGUUGUUUAAUAAUUUUGAUCAAGAAGCAUACUUUUUUUUUGGUCAAGACCAAGAAGCGUAUUUUAUAUAUGCCAUAUUAGUAACAUUAAAAUGCAUAAAGUGUUUGUGAAUUUCAAUGUAAUAAACACGGAUAGAUUGUAUCCAAAUAAAAAAAGGAAAUGAGAUGGCACUGAAAAAAUUGGGAGUCGGUUCUACUGUCAAUAUGUCAAAGUUACUAAGCGAUCGCAACUUAAUAGCCAUUCACAAUUGAUGAAAUAAAGGACUUGGAAGAACAAAGGACACGCAGUAUGACAAACUUUAAUCCUACAGAAGAUGGGAUGGUCCACUGGCAGAAAUCAAACUUGAUUGCAUUUGAUAUCAUUAGUAAUUCAGUACAACAAUAAACUUAACGUACUACGUGAGGACAGCUACAUCCAUCAAUGGUCGUUAUCAUUAAAAAAAAUUCAAAAAAUAAAAUAAAAUACCAUACGUAGCUUUGUUUUUUGAAAGGUUUUAAGUAGUACAUUUCAGCUAAGCCAUAUACAUAAAAUUAUUAUAUUUACUAUGUAAUUAAACAGCAGGUAAAAGCAUUAAAAUACUUAAAAGCUUUCCAUAGAAUAAAUAUGUAUAACAUCUGCUAACAUUUAGUUAAAAAUAAUAAUAAUCUGGUAACAUGAAAAAGAAACUAUCCUUAAUUAGACAAGAUACACGAGAGAUAUAGAGAAUCCACAAAAAAUUUCAUGAAAAAGAUUUCCCUUAACAUACCUUGGAAAGUCUAAAUGGACAAAACUUCGGUUUUCCUUUACGACCAUAUUUAAGUAAUUGAGCACCCUUUUUCAAAGCAAUCAGAGCCUGCGUAACAAAUAUAGUGCACAGCACAGUAAACUAUAUGAGAGAUUAAAUGGACAUAUAAAUAUUAAUAUAAUAAUAAAUAACAACAACAAACAUAGAGGUUGGAAAAUGAUGUGAAGGCCAAAGAUAUUUCUUGGGAACACAAUCAUUAUCGCCCAAAAAAAUCAACAUUAAUAGCAGGCUCUCAAUUUCAGUUGAGGAAUGCUAACUCAGUCAGCUUCCAUCUACUUAUUACAGCAAGUGCAACACAGCUGAUUGAUGGUAUAACAUCCUUGUGCUAUACCAAAGGAUCCAAAACAUUUUUAUAAACCAUAAAGUAGCUGCACUAUUAAAAUCUUAGCAUUUAAAGAAAGCAUCAAAAGAAAUCUAACUUCAUACAAAGUUGGCUUGGCUGUUAACAAUUUAAACCAAGUCAGUAACAUUCAAACACAAAUAAAUAUGCCCUAUACCAACAUUAGUUGGUCCUAGUGGAACAGGACUCGGAUCCUGCAAGGUCUCGGGGGUUGAACCUAGUGGUCAGGCAGGUCCCCUAACAGAGAUUAGUCAUCAACAAAGUUAGGGCAUACUUCGCACCGACAUCAUGGCUGCCAUCAAAUAGUAAUAGUAACGAUAAACAUGCCCUAAUUUUCCAUUUUGGGACAUCCAAUUCCAAUGCAAUUGAUAAAUUCAUUUAACCACCUACACCUCAUUUAAUCAACUGCCCGUCUUUUAUUUUUUCGGGUUAUCAUGUUAUUGGCACGAAGUUUCUAAUGCCGUUUAGCAGUGAUUAAUCUCUGCUAAGGCCUUUGAAGCAUGUGGGGCACCAGCACACAAUGUGUGCUCUCCAGUCCCAGCCGAAUUUUCUUUUUGAUGAUCAACUGCACCUCUUUAAAAGGGUAAAAAUCAAAAUCCCCACUUCACAAAGAUGAUAUUUUUAAUCAAAAUUCAUAUCCUAAUUUUGGUGUCCCAAAACAAAAACAAACUUAAAACAUAAAAAAAUUGCUUUCUAUGUCUUCACUCCCAUGUUCUCACUUCCAUAAAAUUUCCCAAUUAGUACAAACAAGAAAACACUGACAGACACAAAUCACUUGAUCAUAAUAAUCAUAACAUUCUUAACCACCCAAAAACAACAAAAACAGCUACUAAAUUUCACCAUAAACAUAAAACAAAUAAUGAAAAUUUAAAUUAAAAAUCAAAACUUUAGCAUAAAAACUAGCAACCCACCUGGUGAAUGUGACGGUCUGCAUUCCUGUGAUCAACAAGAUCUGCCAUUCAAUGUAAGAGAUUCACCGAAACUCCACCAUCCUCUACUGCGAUCACUUCUUAUAGUUCCGUACAUCAUAAAACUUCAAAUGAAAAAUCAAAACUCACUUUUUAUUCGAUCUGUUACUUUACUCUUCACGAAAAAUACAAACCCAUUAAUCUCAUUCACAAUUCCAAGUCAAAGACGCUGUUUUUUCAACUCAUGCACCAACUUGGACCGGGUGAAGAAACCGAAAAACCCACCCGGUUCUCCGAGACUUGGUCGGAGCGGUUCGCUUUGACGGAAGUGGAUGAGAAUUUCAGGCGAAAAAUGCGGGUUUCAGCGAUGUCUCCGAAGCGGUGAUGGUGGAGAGAGAGAAAGAGAGAGAAUCGAAGUCUGUAAAAAGUACAAAGUAGUCAAAAAAGAAGAAGAAGAAAGAAAGAAUGAAAGAAUAAAUAAAAAUAAAUUAUACUAUUAAAAAGUUAUUAAAAUACAAAAAAGAAGAAACUCUCAUGAAACCACUUAACCAAGUGUAUAUUUAUUUAUUUAUUUUUUUGGUUAAAUAUGUUUUUAGUCCCUUUAAAUAUACUAAUUUUUUGUUUUAUUUUUUUUUAAAUUUUCCUUCAACUUUUAGUCUUUAUAAAAUUUUCAAUCAAUACUUUUGAUCCCUAUUUUUAAGUUAAUUUUUGUAUUUUUAAAUGAAAUUGUGCAAAAAUGUUAAGAAUAUUGUAAAAAAAAUUCCCAAAAAAUGCUAAUUUUUUUAGCAAAACACAAAUUAAAUAUGAAUUUUUAACCUUCAAAAAUAUAAAAAUUCAUAUUAAAUUCAUGUUUUGUUAAAAAAUUCUAAAUUUUUUAGGGAGAGAUUCUUAUAAUAUUAUGAAUUUUUCUGGAAAAUUUCAUUAAAAAAUAUUAAUUAAAUAUAUGAGUUUACUUUAAAAGAUUGACCAAAAGUGAAGAUGAAAAAAUUUUAAGGAACUAAAAGUUGAAGAAAAUUUUUAGAGGGACUAAAACAAAAAGUUGGUAUAUUUAUGGGGACUAAAAAUUUAACCUUUUUUUUAGAAACUAAAUCAGUUUAAUUACAUGUAUAUAAAAAUGAGUUUAAUUAUAAUUUUUCGUGUGAAAAUAAGUUUUAGGAUUAAAAGCUAUGAUUUUAGCUUAAGUAUAAUCAAUUUUUGAAGUUAAAAUCAAUUCAACUAAAAAAUAAUCAAACAUAUCAAUCAAAUUAAUUUUUACCUGUCUAGAAGUGAAAUUAAACCAAGACCCACAAGAAAUGAGAACAUUGCAAAUAGGGUUGGGAAUAGGCCAGACCGACCUACAGGGGCCUACGGUCUGGUCUGUUUUGGCAUGGCCUGGCCUGGACUGUUUAGUAGAUAGGCCUAGGCUUAGGCUUUAAAAUAAUUGCAUAUAUUAAAAAUAUAAACAUCUUUUUCUCUAUCUAUUAGUCCCUUAAUAGACUUUGUUGUUAUAGGCUUUUAUGUAGCUUUAAUCUAGUUGAAAUUUACUUGUAGUGAAAUAGGCUUUUAAGUAGGCUUUAAGACAUGUUUAAUCUAUUUAGUAGGUCAAAUGAACUAUUUGAUGGCCUUAAUGUGAAGUAGGCCUAUAAGUAGGCUUUCAGACCAGUCCAGGCUUUUAAAUAGGUCAGACCAGACCUAGAAAAACGGCCUAUGAUAAGCCAUAGGCCAGGCUCAGGCUUGUGAUUUAUUUCAUAGGUCAGGCUCAGGCCUAUCAAAGCCUGGCCUGGCCUGGCCUAUUCCCACCCCUGAUUGCAAAGCAAACUAAUGAGUAAUGACACUAGCAUUUUAUGUUUGGAAAAGAGACACGUAGGUGACAAGGAUGGUUUAGUAAUUUAGAGAGUGAAGGGGGACAAGGCAGUUUGUACUUUGUUGAAUACAAUGCUAGACUAGGUUGUACUAAUAAUGAGAAAAUUGCAAGAGGGUAUUUUGACUUAUAUUUUUGUGUUCAUCCUAGAUCAAUCAUUACUCACUAUUUAUUUUGAUUUAACUAGAAAUUAGAAAAUUAGAGGAAGUUCAUAGGCAGUAUGGAAGUGUGAUAGUCCAGAUAAUUUGCAUCUUAUUGAAGAUAAAAUCUUUCAUAGACACAAUCACAAAUCAAUAUUGUUAGAUACAUUCUCAAAUAAAAUGAACCUUUUUUAAGAAAAAAAAUAUUUAGUCUGAUAUUAUUCAAUUUUAUUCUUUUUUAUUGUUUUUAUGGUUCUGUGUGUGCCCAAAUCUAUUUAUUAGAGUUUGUGUCCAAACAAAUAUAUUUCUUUAAUAAAAUCAACUUUGGGUUUGGGAACAAAAUUUAGAAGACAUUAAAUAUGACAUUUUUAGGAUAAUGGUUGAAUUCCACGCAAAUGAUCGGAUGAUGAAAGGGAAAUUUGUUUAUUUGUAGUGUUGAUUUCAAAAAAGAUUAUUUGUUUUGUUAAAAUAUCAGAUUUUAGGCUGAUAUCUUUGAUAGGGUAUUUAUACAAAGUCUUGUUAAAAGUUUUGGUCGAUAUAUUGAAAAAAGUAAUUGGUUAUGUUAUUUCAAGGGAUAUAAUGACAUAAGCUUCUAAGAACAUUCACAAUGGAGUAAUAAAUUAAAAAUGGUCCUUAGUUGUAAUUGACGGAAAAACAAUGAAAUCGAAAUAUGCACACUAUAUUAUGUUCUGCUUUUGUUCAUGUCUUAAAAAUCCGUUUGAGUUAUAUUAAAAAUUGAUUUAUGGAUCUAUAAGUUUAGUUCAGUUGACAUGAAUAAUACAUAUGAAUUUAAACUCGGACACUCCGUUUAUUCAUUUUAAAAAAUGAAUUAUAGCCGGUAGGCUAUUUGAAAAACAAAAUAUAUUUUCCUAGUUAACAUAUGUUCUAUAUAUUUAACGCUAUGUGUUAUUUUACCACAACUAAAUAAGGCAAAAUUUAGGUGGUAACUUUUUUAAGCAAAAUUUUGGUGAUAAUUUAUAGCAACGUGGGAGUUAGUGGUUAAUGGAAGUACAAUAAUAGGAACAUGAUCACCUUGAAAGUCGACUAAUUUGAUAUGAUUUUUUGGUAGAUGAAAAAUGUGUAAAAUCUCGAUGCAAGAGAGGCAAAGCUUGGAAUGAUGGAAAAGAGAAUGAAGAUAGUUACAAAAUCCAAAGGCUUUGCUUUGGGGACAAGAAGCCAAAAUUAUAUGGCUAAGGUCCCCCCACUUGAUUUAACACAAUCACACUAAAUGACCAGCCUUGGUCGGUCACUUGAAAUGCUAAUGGGUCCCUAUUUGAUCAAUUUUGAGAACGAAAUAAAGAAGAAUGUUAUACUCAUUCUUCAUUAAAAGGCUCAACUGUACAGUUUAAUACACCUUUUUCGUUAUUCCUUUCCUUUUCAAAUGUUAAGUCUCUCAUAGGAUAUAAGACAUUAUGAAUAAUAGAGUUGGUCAUUCCAAUUUAAAAAGAAAUAGGUCUCUUGAGAAAAUGUAAUAGGUAAGUUUCCUAUUACAUUAUUACAUCUGUAUAGAACAAUCUUGUUCUCAAGGUUGUUAUUAACUCAAUUAAAUCAUUCACAAAGAUCAUAUGAUAUGAUAUAUGUAACGUCUUAAAUUUUGAUCCAAAACAUUACGCCUAAUUCAUUUUCAUUUUUCUAAAAGCGCUGCUAUUUUUUUUAUCAUCAAUAAUAAAUUCUUAACAAAACCUAUACACAAUUCUUAACAUAAUUUAAUUAAAAUUCUUAAAUUAAACGUGAUUCAAAAUUACUUCUAAAAUUACAAUAACGACAAAGAUUGAGUGCGCAAAAAUAAGAAGAGAUUAAAGAAAACAAAACAAAACAUAGAUAUGAUAGAAAAGAUGUUGGAGAUGGAGAAGAUCAGGGCAGAGAUUCUAGAGAGAGUGGGGAGAGAUUGAUGGAUGGAGGUAUUAUUAUGAAUAAUAUGGGUGUGUGAUUGGCAAAGUGAGAAACAUCCGAAAAGAGAUGUUGAUCUUUGUAUUUAUAUGGUCCAAAUAUAGUAUGCUUGCAACAUUCCUUACACGUUCUUAUUUCUUUUGUUGCUACUUGCUACUACUUUUAAAAGAACAAUUGUUUUGCCUUUUGUUGUCUUACUAAGUCAUUGGUGGCUGUUGUCAUAGUCAAUGAUAUAAAACAUAGCUGGUUCUACAUUCUAAAUUUGAUAGAAUGACAUUAUUAGGCUUAGCCAAACAAAUGUUUAUAAUGGUUCUAACUAAUACUGGGGUAAGGUCUAUACAUACCAUUUAACUUGUGUGCAGGUUAUUUCUUUCACAACUGGCUUUGCCCAAAACCAACCAUAAUCACUCCAAAAAAUUGAGUACCUUAAGUUUCACAACACUUAAUUACACAAUCAUGUUAUAUAGUUGUCCGUGCAUGUACUUUGUUGUUAAGUGUUAUGAAUUAAAGGAUUCCAUGGUUCUAGGUCAAAUGCAAUGGAAAGAUAGAUUGUGUAAUUCUCUCUAGGAGUCAUUACUAAGAAACAAUUGUAUAAAAGAUAAUGAAAUAGUACAUAGGUGUAGCUUAUUUAUAGUGACUUGGAGUAACUAACUCCCUAACUAACUUUCUACAUAGAUAACUUGCUCUCUAAGUUAUCUUCUCUUCACUAUACUCUAAUAUUAAGUCGUUUCUUUGUCUUAACCAUCCGGUUUGUCCGGGAGCUAAGCAAAGUUUGACCACUCUUCAAAUCUGAGUUCUCCCGAACAAUUCCUCUCUAACCAUAGCUCAUUAACCACUUGAUCAUAAUCACUUGAUUAAUUAUUUGGUACAAGAGAAUAAGUAUUCAUCCAAUGCACGACCAAAAAGAUUCAAAGGUGUACUCAAGUAUGUUAGCUAAGGUGCAGACUAGCGUGCGCAACCGUCUUAAAUAGUGCACCGUGCGUGACAAAGAUCCGUUGGAUUUCAAUGGACUACAGUUGAAUUAUGAAACUAUUGUAUUAAUCGUUAGAUUUCAACGAUUAAUCUUACUCGCGCACGGUGCGCGAUUUGAGACGGUUGUGCAUGCUAGACCGCGCCACUAGCCAAACUAUAACAAAAGAAAUGCAUUCAUCCCAUAACAAAAGAAUUGAAGAACCUGAAACAAAAUUCAAUCUCAGUAUUUGGAACACAACAUUAAAGCCGUGUAAUUUCUAUGGAAUAAACAUCAAGUGGGAUCAAACAAAUGGGCAAGUAAAAAAUAGACAAUUUUCAAUUUAUAAACUCUGAAAGAAAAACUAGCAAUUGACCAUUUAAUGCUGGAAACAAGAUUUAUAGACUUUGAAGAUUUAUUUUUAUACUUAUGAAACAAGACUUAACUUAUUGUCUUGUAUAGAAAAACUAGCAAUUAACCAUUUUGUUAUGUUUGGAAUAUGUAUUACAUUAUUAACUGUAUAGCAGAAGCAAAAUUAGGAGCCUCUGCAGAUGAUGUUUUGACAGUUCAUUCCUCGCCUCCUAAAGGCCUGUUACCGCUUCUUAGGACGGACGAAUUGGGAACUCUCUUCAUCAGGAACUAGUUUUUUUAUCUUCUGUUCCUGUUUUUCCUUUCCUUUUCCUGUUUCUCUUUUUUAUUAGCCUUGUAAACAGGAAGAAAAAAAAAAAAAACUGUAUAGCAGAAGCCAUAACAAAACCUAGUCACACACUAAAGUUUUAACAGAAGUCCAUUUAUUACAUUAUUAACUCGAUAGCAGAAGAUUUCAAUACAAAAAUCACCAAACUUGAAAUUGAAAGUAGAAAAAAACACAAUCAAACACUGCGAAUCAAUCUACAUUAUUCUAUAACAGCAAGCAAUGUAAUCCUCCCAUACAGUAGGAAAUGAGAUCCUGCAAAAAUAAGAAUUAAUUUUAGUACUCGGAAAGACAAAAAAACAAGUAACUAAUAAUUUAAUCAAGACAUGUGAUAUGUAUAAAUUAACUUAACUAUGAAAACAACAAUGAUAGUGUCUUUGAUAUGACAAAUUAUUGAACAGCACAAAAUGCAAUACAAAACGUAGAAACUCUUUACUUACACAUAAAUCAACAGUGGUAAUAUUAAAAUUAGGAUAUGGUAAAUGAAUUUCAGUAGUUAAUAAAGCAACUAUCCCAAAGGCUAAAAGUAUUUAUGAUUCAGUUAAACCAUAAAAAUUUAAAUGGAAAAGUAAGAAAGAACAGAAGUACCUGACCAUCAUUCAUCCACUUUAGAGAACCUAGCCAGGUACAUUGAUUACUGCUUCCACCAGAUGAUGAUUCUCAAUAUUAAAGUAUUCAAGAAUUUGGAGUAGGUUUCUCUCCAAGAUGGUAGUAACAAUAUUGAGCCUAUAAAACCAACGAAACUAGUAAAGAAUCCUAUCCCCAUGCUCAUGUAUAACGCUUCCAAAAAUACUGAAUUGUCAUCUCCAGCAUCAAUUGUUGGCACUUGAUGUUUUGGUGGCUCUUCACCUGGACAUUUUAUAUGAAGUGGUUGUAACACAACUCAAGAAUUGUAAAUUGUUAAUAGCAUUAAGAACAUUAAUAUUGUUCAAAGUUGCGGCAACACCACAAUUUAAAUUAGAAAAUGAAAGCAAACAACAAAUUGCUAAUAUAUUUUUAAACACGUUCAUGUUCUGAUGCAUAUCUUGAUAUUGCUAACAUAAUUUCAGAACUCUUCAUGGUUAUAUUAUUAGGAAGAAUUGCUAUCAAAGUUGCGGCAACGCCACAAUUUAUAUUUUAAAAAUAGGGCAAAAAUUGUUUUAUCAUUGCCACAACUUUAAACAAUAUAAUUAAUCUCAUGAUUGCUGCUACUGUAAUUUGAUUCGUUUGUAUGAAAUAGAAUGAAAAGUUACACACGUAAAAGGAUGGAGGUUUGUCACAACUGACUAUAAUCUAUUCUACACUCACGUUUGCAUUUAGAUAACAUCUCCACUGUGAUGUUUAGUUCCUGUUAUGUGAAAGUGCAACAAAGAAUAGGGUUUUUGAGAGGCACAUACGUUUGAUUUAGCACAGAAAUCAGCAUCAGUAAACCAAGUCUCAUCAACAACAACAUCAGGAGUUCGAGGCUUUCCAUUGUAUGCAACAGCAGCGACAGAAGAUGUUAAGACAACACGUUUGAGUGAUGGGGAUUUUGCACAUGAGUUGAGAACAUUGAGAGUCCCUUUGAGCGCAGGAUCAAUCAACAGAAAAAUAAAACAAAUUAACUACACUUUAUUAACAAAAAAAAUGGUGAAUAGAAUGGAUUACCUGGAGAGAAAAAUCCAACGUGUUUCCAUGGAUUGAAACAGGCAUGUGGAGAUGCGGAUGAGGGGGAAGAAGAAGAACAAUCAUAAUGAAAUUUGUGUGGAAAGAAGGUGGAAAUUUGUGUGAACAUAUUCUUUGUCUUUGAUCUACCGCAUCACCUGGUUUUGGGAAAUAGAUGAGAGUAAAUGCAUGUAAUUUCCCAUAAAACACUCCUAUUCAUACUCUUGACCGGGCCCAUUAUUGGAAAACUUAUGGAAAUAAAGGGUUUGUUAUUUACAACUAGAUUUUCCAGUUAUUUCAACAACUAGGUAUUGCUCAAAAACAAAUUUUUGCGGUCAUCUUAUGCGUAUAUGGAAGCAGAGAAACAAUAAAUUGUGGAAUAAUGUUAUGGAAACUACUCAACAGAUUGGAGCACGCGCAUAGGUGAUGUAGUAUCAAAAGUGUAAAUAUUUUUGUGUAUUGUCUCCACAGGGACUAGCGUGACAUUCAUGCCGUUCAACAAUCAAUAUUGUUCUAAGUUAUAGAAUAUCAAGUGUUUUGUUUUGUAAAUGGGACAAGAGUAAACACGGAAAUGAAUAUGCUGGGAUUAAACUUCAUCAACCUAACUUAUAUGUAUUCUCAUGAUUAAUAUUGCACAUUCUAGUUAUCACGAUAUUUUCACGUAUUGCUCGGCAAACAUUAUUCAUGUCUAAAUAAGCUUGAGAUUUCAAUCAUAUCGGUCAAUCGAUGAUGUCUCAACCUAUUUACCGAUAUGAUAGCAUUAAGAUUCACUGGAAAAGGAUUGUCCAGUGAGUCCAUUGUUGCUGAGAUCAAGGUGUCGCAAUUGUGAGAGAUUCCCAAGUUGAGUAGGAAUCUUUCCACCGUAACCACCAACUGAGAGGUCAAGGUAUCGUAAGUUGCUGAAGGAUCCAAUAAAUUUUGGAAUUUGAUCAUUAGUAAUCAAAUGACUGAGGUCUAGAUAUUUUAGAUGUCGCAGCUCAGUUAUUGAAGGAUUGAUUACACCACUCAAAUAACGUGUUUCUGAACCAUGCAGAUUCUGAACAUAUAUCCAGUUUGGUUGUUGCAUUGAACUCCUUCCCAUUUGCAACAAUCUGCAUUUGGACCGUCUUUCGAUGUGGACAACAUGCCAUAAUCAUCUUGAAUGCCUUGUUUGAAUGUGAGGAGUGCUUGUCUCUCACUCACUUUGCACUUUGUGUCUCCCUUCUCUUUUAUUGAGUUGAACCCAGCAAUGAAGGAGAACACCAACAAUGCAUGUAAUGUAAUAAUAUUAUAGUUUCUCAUCAUCAUUUCAAAGACAAAAUAAAGAUGAGAUUCUCUUAUGGAUGUUAUACAUUUAAGAGUUAUACAAACCCAUAUAUAAAUAAGUGUGUUUAACGAUAAUCUUUUGUCUUUUAUGCUUGAAAGAAAACAUAAUAUUGUCUUUAUAUACAAAUUUCCCACAUAUGUGUGGAGUAGGGAAAAUGGGUUUGAAAUUUCUGCACUUAGAAAAUCUUUUGAUUGUGGUAGCUAUCUGUAGAUUGAAAUGCAACUACCAAAAAAACAUAAUUUGUCAACGGUGGGUCUCAACUUAAGAAUAAUAAACGUAAAGUGGGUCCACCAAGAAAGACUUAUCACGUAAAUUUGAGGAGUAUGUGUCAAGUUCUAAGUUGAUAUCCUUCAAAAAAUAAAAAAAAGCUCUAAGUUGAUAAGAUUUUUUUUUUUUCAACCUCGUUUUCUUAGGGAUAGAACCCCGAUAUUCCGGAGUUCGGUAGGAGGUACGUGAAGCUUGCAAGGAAUUGUUCUGUACAGAAAUCGAUGAACAAUUAUCUUCUUGAAGUUCAUUAACCAUAUAAGUUAAAUUGUUUGGUUGAUAAUAACUGAUUUUGAAUGAAUUAUUAUAUAAAAUUAUGUUUCUUUUGAAGAGUUAACUAAAUUAUUGUUAAAAAUGAGUUGAAUGUAAAAUGAUUUAUGUUCGAAUACAUUCAUGUAAAAGUGAAUUCAACAACAAAUUUAAAUAUAAAAAUUAUGAGUAGAAUCAAAUUCUUCUAUUUCUUACUAAGUUAGAAUCAAUCAAUUUUAGAGAAAACAUCCAUUCUACUUGAGAGGAAGAAACAAGCCGAAUUCAAUUUUAAACCUCUACAACUAAUUUUGGCUCCUCCAGAAUGGAACCAAUCACAUUAAACUGUUAUGGAAACUGUUUUUUUUUUUACUAAUUUUUAUGUGUGAAAUUUUGUACAAAUUGUCUAAUGUAAACUAUUAGCCUGUAUUUUUAUUUGAUGUUGUUCGAUAGGUAAAAGAGGGUUUGAAGUUACAAAAUCUUCUAAGUCCAUAACUGAAGUUGUCGACUUCGACAAAUGCUGAGAAGUUAUUCGACAGAAACCACAGUUCGAUUAGAAUUGGAAGUUUUCAAUUGAAAGGUGGGAACUGACAAGCAAUUAAUUCAGCAAAGAAGGUGGUAGUCUGAUUUGUCGAACCACCGUUACAUUAUUGCAAUGCAAUUUACCUUUUCUUUAAGUUUCUGCGUUUUUAACUUUUAAGUCUUAUACUUUCAUUUCCUAUCUUUUUUCUCAGAGAAAGACAAUUAUUUUCAUACAUAACUUCAUCUCUUUCAUAAAGCAACUUAUGAAUAUGAUGAACAUUCAUAUCUUUCUUGAAAAAAGAUUGCACAACAUGUCAUAUGAUUUAUGGUUUGAUCCUAGUUGUAAUAAUCAAAACUAGUCUUGUUGUUUAUCAAAAACACCGGUAAACAUUCAAUUAAUUUAUUCAUCAAUAUUAUUUGAUAAUAUUUUCUCUAUAUAGAUUCAAAAAAUAUUAUUUUAUUUUUCUUUACAUUUAGGAUUGAAUUGUUAACUAGGUACUUUCUGUGGAUCGAAAAAAAAAACUAGGUACUUUCUAAGCACAAUUAAAAUAAUUCAUUAUGAGUGAUUAAAAACAUUUGAACUUUAGCUGAUCUUAGAUGUUCCUUGUAUACAUAUAUUUGUUUUUUUAUGAGUCUUGCCUGACUUAGUCAUUUGUUAGUAAUUGAUUUAUUUGGAAUUUAUGUCCUUUGGUUGAUUUCAUUGUAGUUUUUAUCUUUCUUGGUGUUUAGCCUUCUUUAUAUAAAAAAAGGGAUAAUUUUUCUAUUCAAUUUGCAUGGUUUGUCACAAAAAAAAAAAAAAACGAUAUUUUUUUCCUUUCCUAAACCUUCCAAAUUCUUAUAAAGAAAAUAGAUAUACAUUGAUCACACAAAAAACAAAACAAAAAAGAAGAAGACUUUUUAUUAGAAAAAGCAAGUCUUCUUGAAUAAAAAUAAAAACAAGUCUUCUAACCGUGUGAAAAGGGCAAAAGAAACAUGAAAUGGACAUGGUAGACUAAAUAAUUGUUUUUGAAGAAGGCAAUUGUUUGAUAUGAUAAAAUCAAAUUAUGACAGAAUAUACAUGUUAUUCAGAUGACUUGACUUGUAGAAAAAUUGCUUCAUAAUAAUAGAAGACUUGGGCCUGUUUGAUUUACUUCUCAAAAACAGUUUUUCAGUUUUUAAAAACAAAAAACUACAAAAUUUGUUUGAUAAACUAUUUUGCAAAUUGUAAUUUUGAAAACUAAUUUGAGUUUUUCAGUUUUGAGAACUAAAAAAUCAGAACAGUGAAAGGUAGUUUUGGUUUUUAAUUUUCGUUUUUGAAAAGUUGAAAAAGGCGGAUUACCGUAACAUUUUCAUUAAUGGUAACUUUGGUAAUUAUGAUAACAUUUUAUUUAUUUUUAAUUUGCGCUUUAUUUUGACUGAAGGAUACGUAUAUGCUCUAACAAAAAAUCCAUCAAACAAGUUUUCUUGUU